rnacentral:lncRNA from 1 species
CAUCCCACUUCUUUUCCUUAUAUCCCCUAACCAAACCUUAAUCCUUAUUUUCUCACCACCAGCCGCCUCUCUACUCCCGUUUCUCUCAUCACCCCUCUGCCUCUCCUAAAACCUAGCCGCCUCACCUCAGCCUAAACCUAGUUCGACAUGGAGAUCCUCUAUAUUUCCCUUUCCUUUUUUGACUGUAAAAAUGUUGCUUCCCCGUUUCUUGAUUUGGUUCAUUUGGUAUCGAUUGAUUUAUGGAAGGUUAUCACCGGCUUUGAUUCUGGAUAUUUACCAUAUUCUUGAGUUGAUACACUCAAGACAGGGCCACCCGAGUUCAGUUUAAUGAGAUCCUUUGAUAUUUUGAUUCCUCUACCGAAUUAGGGUUUGCUCGAUUUUGCCCUAAUCCAAUUUGAAAUUGGUUUACAUGAGAUUGUUUCCUUAUUUCUGUGAUUCGAUUGAUUCUUCUUUCUUUUUCAUUGUGUGAAUUGAGUACUAUAUAAGCACCCUCCUCAAUUUUUCCUUUGGGACAGACUUUAGUCACUAUCUCUCUCACUCCUACCGGUUCUAAUUUGUUCUGGUUCUUUGAAUACUACUAUUGUUUGAUUGUGUUCUUAGCCGACUAAAAGCCAAGGCAACCAUGGUAUCAUUCAAAGCCUCCCCCGGUACAAGCACUGCUCAGAGCCCUUUGAGGCUUCUGUGAACUUUGAAGUACCGUAGACCUUGGAGUUCUCAAUGCUUUCCUUCAUAUGCAAUUGCUGUAGAACUACAGUUGAAACUCGUCUCUUGUUAUUUUUGCUCGCUUCUCUUUGCAACUGGUUAGUGCUCUUGAACCCUACAAUUUAAUUGUUACAUUAAUAUUUUUAGAUUACCUCUUUAUUUGUUCGUAUUUAUGUUCAUUCUAUAUGCCACUACUGUCUGAACUCUUAUCAAAAAAUAGAAAAGCAUGACUUAGAUUUUUCUGCAAUUUGUGAAUCAAAAUAUUAUAUUGUGUUAUAUGCUUUGCUGCAAUUUCAUUGUCAAGGUGUUGUUAUGAGGAUUCAUCUCUACAAAUGUUAAGUUUGCUCAAGUUUUAGUACCUCUAAUGUGAAUCUUUGUCAUAUAUAACUAUACUUAUCUAUGUGAAUGAAAUGGACCCGGAGGACUGUUAAAAUAUCGAUCUGGGUCCGUUUACAUAAAAUGUUAACCGUAGUCAACUCAAGUCAAUAAGACACUGACUGCACACACAAUUUGAAAGACGCUAAACAGAGCUAUUCGAGGCCUCAAAAUGCGUAAAUAGAGGCUAAAUCUCAAAAUGACCUAUCGGGUCAUCACAACAGCAAAUCCUAAAUUACCGCGAGUCAGUGAACAUAUGGAGUUGGAAUCUCUAUGCAAAUUUAGCACAUAAAAAUUGUAGUUUUUGAAAAAAAUUUAGUAUUUGAAGUUAAGUUGAAAAAUAAUAUUUGGAAUCUGAAAUUAUAUUUGGACAUGUAUUACACUUGAAAAAAUAUCGCGGUUUUGUGAAUGGGAAAACAAAAAUUUCUGAAAAUUUUGAGAAGUGGUCAAAACUACUUUUUGGUUUUUGAAAAACUCAUUUUCAAAAUAUUUCUAAAAACUUGCAAAAUUUCAUGGUCAAACAUGUUUUGAAAAAAAAUCGAAAAAAGGAAAAAAAAUAUCUAUGGACAAACGGGUCCUUAAUCGAUGGAAUAUUAGGGUUUUUCAUUUACAGAAACUUGUUUGUUCCCUUACAUCUUGAAUAUUAUUAUCCAUUCUGUCUCAAAAUGAAUCAUAAAAUUUGGAGUGAGAACGUUAACUUAUGUUUUUGAACUGGUGAUAUUCCCUUAACUACAGAUUCAAUAGCACCAGUUAUGAACCCCAAAAAUAACAGAAAAGAGAGCACCGUCUACUCAGACUGUCAUACUUUAUAAGAAUAGAGGCUGAUCUAGGAUUUGAAGGUCAAGGUGUUUAUGUUACUUUGGACUUUGACUUGAUCUCUUUUGAGUUUCGGUUGGGGUUAUUCGUCUUUUUGAUUUAUAUAGACAAAUCGAUCAAAUAAAAUAUUUUAAUAAUUAUGGUGAGCAAAGCAUAAAACUUCAAUAACAUAACUAAUUUCAACAAAAUAUUAGUAAUAUUAUUUAUUUACAAUGGUCUUCAACGACUUUUCAUAUUUUAGAGUCAUAGUUGAACUAAAAGAUGGACAAAUAGGACUAAAACUCGCUAUAGAUGCAUAUUUAGAUACUCAAAGCAAAAACUUACUUAAUAAAUACUAGAAAUAUUUUUUAGAACAGUAUAAACUUUGAAAUAAAAUCAAGAAUUUAUAAAACUAAAAACGUCAAUAGGAACUUGUAAGGAAAAAGAGUGUGCAACAAUUGAAGAAAAGGAAGAAAGAAGAAAUAAGUAAAAGAAAGAAAAGAAGAAGCAAAUAAGAAAAAGAAAAGAAGAAAAAAUAAGAACAAAUCUCCCAGCGAAACAAAGUAAUUUUAAAAAUGCAGUAACCUAGGUCGAUCUCAGGCCUGGAGUGCGAAACAUUAAGCCGUGGGCCAGUGGCACCAAGCAGCAACAUGGUACUUCAGGAUGUGUGUGUGUACAAACAAGGUUUCAAUCGAGGUGUGGGUGGCGUGCCAUCUCCUUCCUCCUUGGUAGAUCCGCCCCUGUAUAAGAAUGAUUUUUUCUGUGAGAAUUUAAACUUGUACUCCAACUAAUUUGAUAAUUAGUAAAGUAGCAAUUUUUAUAGUGAAAAUAUUUGUAAAGAUUAUAAUAUUUUUUAUUUCUGUAACAACAAUAAAAAUAAUAUAAUGCCAUUACUUGUUUUUUUAGAUAGAGAGUACAAUUUUACAAAUGACUUGGAGUAGCUCACAUAAUAUCCUUAGUUCUCCAUUUCCCUAAUAAAUAAGUUAGUAACCUUCAAUAACCACAAAAAAAUAAAAAAAUUAGAUUUUGUUAUAAAACAAUAAAAGAAGAAGAAGAGUAUUGCAGAGAAAAGUAGAGAGAGAGAAUUCUCAUUGAUUUGGGAUGAAUUAUAAUGGAAUAGAACCUCUCUAUUUAUAGAGAAAAAGUGACUUAGCCACAAAGUAACAAACUUUAGAAUCUCUCUAAAAUAUAGACAUUCACCUUAAAUAAAAUUAUAUUUAUAAUACUCCCCCUUGAAUGUCUAUUCAACAGAUAAUAUGCCUCGUUAAAACCUUAAUUAAAAUGAAACCCAAUAGAAAAAAAAGUUUAGAGAAGGAAAAAGAGUACACAUAUUUAGAAAUACGCCUUUUGGUUGGCUCGUUAAAAACUAGCAAGGAAAACCAUAGUGGGGACAAAACCUUGUAAGGAAAAAAGAGUGCAAUACAUAUUNNNNNNNNNNNNNNNNNNNNNNNNNNNNNNNNNNNNNNNNNNNNNNNNNNNNNNNNNNNNNNNNNNNNNNNNNNNNNNNNNNNNNNNNNNNNNNNNNNNNNNNNNNNNNNNNNNNNNNNNNNNNNNNNNNNNNNNNNNNNNNNNNNNNNNNNNNNNNNNNNNNNNNNNNNNNNNNNNNNNNNNNNNNNNNNNNNNNNNNNNNNNNNNNNNNNNNNNNNNNNNNNNNNNNNNNNNNNNNNNNNNNNNNNNNNNNNNNNNNNNNNNNNNNNNNNNNNNNNNNNNNNNNNNNNNNNNNNNNNNNNNNNNNNNNNNNNNNNNNNNNNNNNNNNNNNNNNNNNNNNNNNNNNNNNNNNNNNNNNNNNNNNNNNNNNNNNNNNNNNNNNNNNNNNNNNNNNNNNNNNNNNNNNNNNNNNNNNNNNNNNNNNNNNNNNNNNNNNNNNNNNNNNNNNNNNNNNNNNNNNNNNNNNNNNNNNNNNNNNNNNNNNNNNNNNNNNNNNNNNNNNNNNNNNNNNNNNNNNNNNNNNNNNNNNNNNNNNNNNNNNNNNNNNNNNNNNNNNNNNNNNNNNNNNNNNNNNNNNNNNNNNNNNNNNNNNNNNNNNNNNNNNNNNNNNNNNNNNNNNNNNNNNNNNNNNNNNNNNNNNNNNNNNNNNNNNNNNNNNNNNNNNNNNNNNNNNNNNNNNNNNNNNNNNNNNNNNNNNNNNNNNNNNNNNNNNNNNNNNNNNNNNNNNNNNNNNNNNNNNNNNNNNNNNNNNNNNNNNNNNNNNNNNNNNNNNNNNNNNNNNNNNNNNNNNNNNNNNNNNNNNNNNNNNNNNNNNNNNNNNNNNNNNNNNNNNNNNNNNNNNNNNNNNNNNNNNNNNNNNNNNNNNNNNNNNNNNNNNNNNNNNNNNNNNNNNNNNNNNNNNNNNNNNNNNNNNNNNNNNNNNNNNNNNNNNNNNNNNNNNNNNNNNNNNNNNNNNNNNNNNNNNNNNNNNNNNNNNNNNNNNNNNNNNNNNNNNNNNNNNNNNNNNNNNNNNNNNNNNNNNNNNNNNNNNNNNNNNNNNNNNNNNNNNNNNNNNNNNNNNNNNNNNNNNNNNNNNNNNNNNNNNNNNNNNNNNNNNNNNNNNNNNNNNNNNNNNNNNNNNNNNNNNNNNNNNNNNNNNNNNNNNNNNNNNNNNNNNNNNNNNNNNNNNNNNNNNNNNNNNNNNNNNNNNNNNNNNNNNNNNNNNNNNNNNNNNNNNNNNNNNNNNNNNNNNNNNNNNNNNNNNNNNNNNNNNNNNNNNNNNNNNNNNNNNNNNNNNNNNNNNNNNNNNNNNNNNNNNNNNNNNNNNNNNNNNNNNNNNNNNNNNNNNNNNNNNNNNNNNNNNNNNNNNNNNNNNNNNNNNNNNNNNNNNNNNNNNNNNNNNNNNNNNNNNNNNNNNNNNNNNNNNNNNNNNNNNNNNNNNNNNNNNNNNNNNNNNNNNNNNNNNNNNNNNNNNNNNNNNNNNNNNNNNNNNNNNNNNNNNNNNNNNNNNNNNNNNNNNNNNNNNNNNNNNNNNNNNNNNNNNNNNNNNNNNNNNNNNNNNNNNNNNNNNNNNNNNNNNNNNNNNNNNNNNNNNNNNNNNNNNNNNNNNNNNNNNNNNNNNNNNNNNNNNNNNNNNNNNNNNNNNNNNNNNNNNNNNNNNNNNNNNNNNNNNNNNNNNNNNNNNNNNNNNNNNNNNNNNNNNNNNNNNNNNNNNNNNNNNNNNNNNNNNNNNNNNNNNNNNNNNNNNNNNNNNNNNNNNNNNNNNNNNNNNNNNNNNNNNNNNNNNNNNNNNNNNNNNNNNNNNNNNNNNNNNNNNNNNNNNNNNNNNNNNNNNNNNNNNNNNNNNNNNNNNNNNNNNNNNNNNNNNNNNNNNNNNNNNNNNNNNNNNNNNNNNNNNNNNNNNNNNNNNNNNNNNNNNNNNNNNNNNNNNNNNNNNNNNNNNNNNNNNNNNNNNNNNNNNNNNNNNNNNNNNNNNNNNNNNNNNNNNNNNNNNNNNNNNNNNNNNNNNNNNNNNNNNNNNNNNNNNNNNNNNNNNNNNNNNNNNNNNNNNNNNNNNNNNNNNNNNNNNNNNNNNNNNNNNNNNNNNNNNNNNNNNNNNNNNNNNNNNNNNNNNNNNNNNNNNNNNNNNNNNNNNNNNNNNNNNNNNNNNNNNNNNNNNNNNNNNNNNNNNNNNNNNNNNNNNNNNNNNNNNNNNNNNNNNNNNNNNNNNNNNNNNNNNNNNNNNNNNNNNNNNCAUAAAAAUCCGAAAAUUUACCUCAAAAAUCGUCAGUGGGGCCCACGUCUCGUAACUCGACAAAAGUUAUAAUAUCCGGAAGCCCAUUCAACCACGAGUCUAACCAUAUCAAUUUUACCAAAAUCCGACCUCAACUUGACCCUCAAAUCUUCAAUUUAAACCAAGAGGGUUUUCUAAAUUUUUCAACUUAAUUCACCCAUUAAAUGAUGGAUUCAAAGACAUAAUCAUGAAAAUUAAUUAAAACUGGAUAAGAAUCACUUACCCCAAACACCCACGCAAGAAUCUCUCUAAAAAUCGCCUUCUUCCGAGCUCCCAAUUCAAUUUUGUGCUAUGAACUCAAAACUCCCGUUUUGGAACUUUUAGUUUUGCCCAGAAAUGCCUUCAUCGCAUUCGUGACCAUGGCUUUGCGUUCGCGAAGCACAAAAAUGUGCUGCAGAGGUUCCUUCUUCACGUUCGUGACUUCUUCAUCACGUUCGUGAUGCCUUCCUACCUCUGCCCUUCGUGUUCGCGAGACACGAGCCGCGUUCGCGAAGGCUUAACGCCAGGUAGGCCCCAACUCCCUUUCCUCUUCGCAUUCGCGUCAGCCCACUCGCGUUCGUGUAGGCUUCCCCAGUCUCUUCUUCGCGUCCGCAUCUCCUUGCUCGCAUUCACGAUGGGUAAAUCCCAGGAGCCUAAAUUCCUUCUUCGCAAAUGCGUGAGACCCUUCGCGUUCACGAAGAACAAUACCAGAUAUCAGUUCCAGCAGUUGCAAAACAAGGAAAAAUGAUCCGAAACCAUCCCGGAACUCACCCGAGCCCUCCGAGACCUCAACCAAAUAUACCAACAAGUCCUAAAACAUCAUACGAACUUAGUCGAACCCUCAAAUCACCUCAAACAACGCUAAAACCAUGAAUUAUACCCCAAUUCAAGCCUAAUGAACUUUGAAAUUUCUAAUUUCUACAAACGACUCCGGAACCUAUCAAAUCACGUCCGAUUGACCUCAAAUUUUGCACACAAGUCAUAAAUGACAUAAAGGAGGUAUUCAAAUUUUUAGAAUCGGAUUUCGACCCCGAUAUCAAAAAGUCAACCCCCCGGUCAAACUUCUCAAAAAUUUGACUUUCGCCAUUUUAAGCCUAAUUCCACUACGAACCUCUAAAUAAUUUUCCGGACACACUCCUAAGUCCAAAAUUACCAUACGGAGCUAUUGGAAUCAUCAGAAUUCAAAUCUGAGGUCGUUUACACAUAAGUCCACAUCCGGUCAAUUUUCUAACUUAAAUUUUUAAUUAUGAGACUAAGUGUCUCAUUUCACUCUGAAUUUCUUCCGGACCCGAACCAACUAACCCGAUAAGUCACAUAUCAACUGUAAGGCAUAAAUUGCACAGUAAAUUGGGGAAUGGGGUUAUAAUACUCAAAACGACCGGCCGGGUCGUUACAUUCUCCCUCACUUAAGCAUAUGUUCGUCCUCGAACGUGCCAAGAGUUGUUUCCAAGCCAUCAAAUCACUAUUCCGUAUUACCACGCACGUACCCGGGGGUGAUCUCACGUCACCCUAUUCUAUAUAGGCCUGACCAAACAACAUAACUAAAAAUUAUUAAUUUAGCAUUAGCCCAUAAAUCUUGGAAUCCAAUUUCCAAAAUCCAAAAAUUUCUUUCGAAGACCCGAAUCUCACAUCUACACUCUGUAUGAGUCUUAACAAGCUGUAUCCCGCCAUAACCAUAAUCCCAAAUAUAAUCACAUAACAUACUACACAACUCACAUACUCGUAGCACCAUUUCUGAUCACAGUAACUACUCAAAACCAACCAAGUACUAGUAUAAAAUGCCGCAUUCAACAGAACCUCAUUCCAAAACCUUCGUACACUGCCCAUAAUGAAAGAAACAAUCAAAAACUCAUAACCACUCAUCAGAUCAACUAGCCAUGGAGCUAUCUCGCCCCAACCAGAACCACAAUCCUCUCUUAAGCCGACUUUCAAUAUUAUCCUCCCAAUAUACCGGAAUCAAACCUGAUAGUAUCCAUUCUAGGUCCAAUAACCUUAUAUUAUUAAAUACAACUAUCCCAUUGACAUGCCACACCAAUGCAACUCAAUCCACAACUACACAACCUUGUACCCAAAAUGGAAGAUGUCUCAAAGUAGAGAACCGUAUUGUAAGUUCAACAAGCACCACCACAACUGUAAUGCUAUAAGCUCAUUAUAUAUAGUAGAACCAAGACACCCAAAUUUAAUAUCAGUAACCAGCUCUUCUAGAGCUCAUAUUUACAUCACUCGCACGGACAACUCACGUGCUAUAGUAUCAAUAUCUGAACCCGCAUGAAUAACUCACGUGCCAAUAAUAUCAGUAAUUUGAAUAUCAACAGUCUAUCAAUCAGGAGAGUACCGUAAUACCAAUGAACAUCCGUAAAUGAAAACACAAUGCCCCUUUCAACCGCACACCCUUCUGAGGGAUUACCGAGUAACUAUAACAUUCCUCUAAAUAUAUAACACUGACCAUUCCAUCCAGAAUUCGUGAUCUUCCUUUCAAGAAUGAACUGCCACCUCGUACAUAUAAAUCUAAAUCCCGCACUACACACCACAUCUAUCACUUGAAAAGCACGAGAAUCUCAUUAUAAACUCUGAGUCACCAGCAAAUUACAUACCCUAUUAGUUGGAAACUUUUCUCUUUCUUAUUUCUAGGAGGAAAUCACAAGGCACAACACGUUUCCCAUACCGGUAGAAAAUAUCUGGUUCAAAUCAUGGUAGAAACCAUUAAGAACACUUUGAAAUCUAUUUUCACCUAAUCAAGCUAUCAGAACUAAUUUCCUUUAUCUCGUCCAAGCCACGCUGGUCACCAAAAUACAAAAAUAUUGCCACCAAAACAUCUAUAAAGCCUCUACAUCAUUAUUACCCAAAAGAACUGAGCAUGCCAUUACCAUACUGGUCUAGCCUACUACCUAGUAGUCCUAUUUUUCUCCGAGGUUCUCCUGAAUUACCCUCAAGUUGACGUUUCUCAAUUAGAACACUACUACCCUUAUCCAAAGCUCACUAUAAGACAUCCCAACAUAAAACCACACCGUCCUAAGGUCCAUAAGCCAUUGUAUUCUUCUUAAGCACCACAAAAGUACCACAACCACAACACUCACUUUGAAAAUACCUUAUGUGAAUUUAAAAUUAUUCUUUCCUCUUUCUUAUACUAGAAUGUGGAAUCCAUAGUCAUAUAGAAUUACCGCAAGUCCUGCACCAUCCAGUGCAAUAACCGAUUCUGGGGAUAUACAAAUUCCGGAAAAAAAAAUUCAAUUGACACAUAUACAUUUUGAAUCCAUUAUAACCCUUUCAAAAGUCACCCACUAUGCUCAAAUCUAAAUUGCACUGCCCGAAUGGGCCAAAAGACACAAUCCCCCAUUAGCACAACAGCCCCCAAAGAAGCAACCCUGCCUUAACACCACUAAUCAAAUUCAUACUCCGUGCGUACUACAUCCUUCAAAAUAAUAAUUUAAUCAUCUCAUGAUCAUAAAGUGAAAUAUAACCCGCAUUCAAGAAAUUUUCUUACUCAAAUCAUCCCCGAUCUUAACCUCUGCAAGUCAUAACUAAUCCAUAAGUGUACCUCAGAACGAAACCAAUACCGCACAAAAUCGCGCAAUCAAAUCGUAGAUAGCAGACUCCCCCACUUGGCCCAAAGCCAUAUAUCAAAACAUCUGAUAUCUCACCAUACCCAGAUAAUAGCUAAAUUGACCAUACUAAGCAAUAAAAGAUUAACUCUAGUCUCGUCCCCCAAUAAUUUCCACCCACGACCGAUACACCUGGUACAUAAUUAUAGUAUCGCCCACUGGCGUAGAUACAUGAACAGGUGAAACUAAGGACUCACGAGGCAUAUCCAGAAAAUGAACAAAAAUAUGAUGAAAAUACGAAUAUGUGGAACCAGGGUCAAAUAAUAUAGAUGCCUCCCUGUGGAACACUGAGACAAUACCUGUGAUCACUGCAUCUGAAGCAAUAAUAUCUGGUCUGGAAGGAAAAGCAUAGAAUCGACCCUGACCGCCACCGGAUUGGCCUCCCCCUCUUGGGCGACCCCUAGCUGACUGAGCCCCACUCGAGCUGGCUGAGUGGGUGGUGGAGCAACUGGUGCAGAAGUAGUAGCCUGACUCCUCUGCUGAACAUGACCUCCUGUAUGGCGGGGACAAUAUUUCCUCACAUGGCCCAGCUCUCCACACUCAUAGCACUCCAUCUCGAAGAAUGGUGGCGAGUUCUGAGGCGGACCUCGGGAACCAGAAUAACUACUAGAAGGACCCGGUACAUAUGAUCCCUGAACUGAUGGUGCACGGAGCAUACUCGGGGCUGGAAGUGCACUGAGAGCUGACUGACUCUGAUGAGAACUGUAUGAACCAUGGCUGGAUGAUGCACCAUGGUGAACUGGACGACCCCUGUUGUGGUAGAACUGCCCUCCAGAAGGUACCCCACCAAAAUGGCCCGAACCUCAAGGCGUCUUAGCCUCCUUGUCACCACACUCCUAGCUACGGACCACCUCUAUCUGUCGAGAAAUGUCAACCACCUCGUCAAAAGUGGCACCAGAUAUCCUCUCCCUAGUCAUAAGCAACCACAGUUGAUACGUGAGGCCAUCAAUGAACCUCCUAAUCCUCUCCCUAUCAGUGGGAACCAACCAAACUGCGUGAUGAGCCAACUUAGAAAAUCUCAUCUCGUACUGCGUCACGGUCAUGCCAUCCUAACGUAACUGCUCAAACUGUCUGCGCAGCUCGUCUCUGCGAGACUGCGGUACAAACUUCUCCAAAAAGAGAAUGGAGAACUCUUACCAUGUAAGUGGUACUGUACCAAUCGGCCUGCACCUCUCAUAAGCCUCCCACCUUCUGAAGGCAGCCCCAGAAAACUAAAAAGUAGUGAACGAGACCCCACUGGUCUCCAGAAUACCUGCUGUCCGAAGCAUCCGUUGGCACUUAUCCAGAAAAUCCUGAGCAUCCUCUGACUCAGCCCCACUAAAUGAUGGAGGUCGAAGCCUCCCAAAUCUCUCAAGUCUUCUCUGCUCAUCAUUUGCCAUAAUAGGGACUACCGGGGCCUGAGCGGCUACAACUAGCUGGGCUGGUAGUGCCCCCGGUAUCUGAAGUUCCUGUACUACAUGGUCUGGAGUACGAGCAACAUGGGUAUGAGUACCUCCCCCGGCCUGAGAAGUGGCAGGUGCAGCCUGAGUCAAAACCACAUGAGCAAGACCAGUGCAAACUGUCAAUAUCUGAGCCAAAGUCUCCUGAAGGCCUGGAAUCUCAAUGGGCACAGCUGGUGCAACUGGUGGUACUACAGGUGUUGGUCCCACUAUGGUAUGAGCUAAACCUUGACCUCUACCUCGGCCCCGGCCUCUACUACGAUCUCGGCCUCUCGCGGCCCUAACUGUUGGCUGACCGUCCGAUCUGGGAGUACGUGUCCUCACCAUAUGUGAGAGAAUAGAAUAACAUGACUUUUAGUUUCCAGAAUCAACAAGUUCGCACGACUGAAUACAAUAAAGUGAAAUUUCCUAAGGGUUCGGCAUCCUCUCUAAGAUAAGUACAGACGUCUCCGUACCGAUCCGCAAGACUCUACUAAACCUGCUCAUGACUCGUGACACCUAUGUAACCUAGAGCUCUAAUACCAGCUUGUCACGACCCAAAAUCUUACCUGUCGUGAUGGCGCCUAUCUCAAUACUAGGCAAGCCAAAAAUCUCAAUUAACCACAAUAUCUUUUAAAUUUGAAAACAUAAUAAUUAAAUUCAGCUGAAGAAACUCACAAUUUCAAAUAUAACACUCCCAAAACCCAGUGUCACUGAGUACAAGAGCAUCUAAUAUGAAUAAAAAGUCUGACUGAUUAAAUCACUGUCUGAAAAUAUAGAACAGUACAAUAAUUAAAUAGGAAGGGAAUCAAGUUUGCGGAUGUCAAGCAGCUACCUUUAUAUUCCCCAACAGAAUUAACUUCGAAAUCUAGCAGCCGCCGUAUCCGGGAGCACCUGGAUCUGCACACGAGGUGCAGAGUGUAGUAUGAGUACAACUAACUCAAUAAGUAACAAGACUAACCUCUGGGCUGAAAGCAAUGACGAGCUCCGCAGGUACAGUCUAGUAUAAAUAAUGGUAAAAAAAUGUAGGCAUGCUUUCAAGUUUAACAGUUAAACUUAGUACAAGUGAAAUAGAUCAAUACUCCAUGAUAUGAGGUAUAUGACAUCUCAGUAGAAAGACCUAAUGUAAAUACUAGUCACAAAUAAUCCGGUCACUCGGUACUGUUUAUGGCCAAUCCAACCUAGGGGUGUUCCAACCCGUAUAUAAAUACACAUCGACUGACAGUCAGUCACCCAGUACCGUAUAAGGCCAAUCCAGCCUUGGGAUAAUUUUAUCCCCAAAUAUAACUGAUACAGACAGGAUCCAUGUCCAGGUAAACUNNNNNNNNNNNNNNNNNNNNNNNNNAAUAAUAAAGACAAUAAGGCCUGCUGCAGGCGGGCAACCCUGAUCCAUUUAAUAAUAAAGCCAAUAAGGCCUGUUGUAGGCGGGCAUCCCUGAUCCAUAAAAUAGUAAAGUAUAAAGCCAUUAUGGCCUGCUGCGUCGCGCAGCUCAAUCACAUAAACAUCCUCACAAUGGACAAAUAUUACUGAGUGUGAAAUGUAUAUUUUUGAACAAAUAAUUCAACAGCAACACGACCCCAUGGGUCCCAAAAUGUUGGCACGUAGCCUAAACAUGGUCUUUAAUAGGAGCCUCAGCUUAAUUUCUCUAACACAUGGAGAAUGUUCAGAUAAUAACAUGAUUCAUUAAUCUUACAACUGCACAGGAUUUAUUCAAGACACAAUUUAUAUGGUGCACGUCCACAUGCUCGUCACCUAACGUGUGUGUCACCUCCAAACAAUUUAUAUCAUAUCAGAUUCGAGGAUUCAUACCCUCAUAACCAAGUUUAGAAGUGUUACUUACCUCAAACCGUUUAACGCUUUACUCCGCUAUGCCUUUGCCUUCUGAAUUGGACUCCAAACGCCUCUUAUCUAGCCACAAUUAAUUCAAUUCAGUCAAUAAAAUUUAUUAAAAUUAAUUGCAUAAGAAAAUACUAAUUUUCCAUAAAAAUCUGAAAUUUAGCUCAAAAGUCGCCUAUGGGGCCCAUGUCUCGGAACUCGACAAAAGUUAUAAAAUUCGGAAGCCCAUUCAACCACGAGUCUAACCAUACCAAUUUUACCAAAAUCUGACCUCAACUCGACCCUCAAAUUUUCAAUUUAAACCAAGAGGAUUUUCUAGAUUUUCAACUUAAUUCACCCAUUAAAUGAUGGAUUCAAGGACAGAAUCAUGGAAAUUAAUCAAAACUGGAUAAGAAUCACUUACCCCAAAUACCCACGCAAGAAUCUCUCCAAAAAUCGCCUUCUACCGAGCUCCCAAUUCAAUUUUGUGUUAUGAACUCAAAACCCCCAUUUCGGAAUUUUUAAUUCUGCCCAGAAAUGCCUUCAUCUGCCGAGGUUCCUUCUUCACGUUCGCGACCUCUUCAUUGUGUUCGCGAUGACUUCAUACCUCUUCCCUUCAUGUUCGCGAGACACGAUCCGCGUUCGCGAAGGCUUAACGCCAGGCAGGCCCCAGCUCCCUUUCCUCUUCGCAUUUGCGUCAGCCUACUCGCGUUCGCGUAGGCUUCUCCAGUCUCUUCUUCGCGUUCGCGUCUCCUUGCUCACGUUCGCGAUGGGUAAAUCCCAAAAGCCCAAAAUUCCUUCUUCGCGAACGCGUGAGACCCUUCGCGUUCGCGAAGAACAAUACCAGAUAUCAGUUCCAGCAGUUGCAAAACAAGAAAAAAUGAUCCGAAACCAUCCCAAAACUCACCCGAGCCCUCCGGGACCUCAACCAAAUAUACCAACAAGUCCUAAAACAUCAUACGAACUUAGUCGAACCGUCAAAUCACCUCAAACAACGCUAAAAUCAUGAAUUACACCCCAAUUCAGGCCUAAUGAACUUUGACAUUUCCAAUUUCUACAAAUGACUCUGAAACCUAUCAAAUCACGUCCGAUUGAUCUCAAAUUUUGCACGCAAGUCAUAAAUGACAUAAUGGAGGUAUUCAAAUUUUUAGAAUCGGAUAUUGACCCCGAUAUCAAAAAGUCAACCCCCCGGUCACACUUUCCAAAAAUUCGACUUUCGCCAUUUUAAGCCUAAUUCCACUACGGAUCUCCAAAUAAUUUUAUGGACACGCUCCUAAGUUCAAAAUUACCAUACAGAGCUAUUGAAUCAUCAGAAUUCAAAUACGAGGUCGUUUACAUAUAAGUCCAUAUCCGGUCAACUUUUCUAACUUAAAUUUUCAAUUAUGAGACUAAGUAUCUCAUUUCACUCCGAAUUCCUUCCGGACCCGAACCAACUAACCUGAUAAGUCAUAUAUCAACUUUAAGGCAUAAAUUGUGCAGUAAAUUGGAAAACAGUGUUAUAAUACUCAAAACGACCGGCCGGGUCGUUACAAUCUAUGAGACUCCUCAUAUGAUUUUGAAAACCUUCAAACCUUUUCUGCCUUAUUUAUGUGUUCUUUCAUUUCCCGAACCUCAUAUCCUAGAAGGUUUCUUAGGAAACACCUUUUUGGUUAGUUAGUAACUUCAGGGAUUGAACUCUGAGUGUAUAUGUAUUCAUUUCCUAAGUUUAAAGUAGCCUAGAUGACCCAUUUGCAAAGGCUUUCACUUGAAUUCUUGGUGCUCUUGUUGGGUGUUAGUUAUCACUGGUAAACAGAAGGGGUUUAGCUUCAGAAUUUGGGUUUGGUCUAUUGGGCCAAAUUUGGUGUUGAGUCUAAACUGUGCUAUCAGCCUUCCCGCAUAUCUAGAGUUUGGGCCUGCUAUUUGCAAGAAGUCGAGGCCGUUGAAGGCCCAGAUGUGUUAUUGAGUUAUUUGUAUAUUUAUGUUGGGCUUGUAAUUUUUUAUUCUUGGUCUAUAAUAAUUUGUAAAGUUUACAAUGGGGCAAAUAGUUAAACAAGGGCCUGGGGUAGUUUAAUUUUUGCAUGAUUGGGUAUGUAACAUGCCUAUAGGUCCAAAUAACUUUGCCAGCUACUUGUCAUCUAUGAUUUACUUCUGUGUAUUGCUUGUUAAUAGAUAUCAUACCCAUAGGACUUCCAACAUUGCCUAUUCCGCUUAGAAAUCAUGAGUUUAGGUCCUCAAGCAAUUGGUAACUAAACACUGCCUAUGUGACUUACAAUAUCGUUUAGAAAGCAUGCCUAUAGGACCUAUUAUGUGUUAAUUCGUUUGACUAUCUGCCAUUACACUUAGAAAUCAGGUAUUAGGAUUUCACACUAGGCAUCAUGCCUAUAAGAAUUUUUUAUUAAUUAAUUCAACUAUUCGUACUGCCAACUAUGCUCGUAACGCUUUAAACCUAGAGGCCAUGUCUAUAGGAUUUGUAAUAAUGACUUUUAAUUGUUGUACCACUUAAAACAAUUUAGGACAUGAAUCACCUAAAGAUCUUGCCUAUAGAUUUAACAAUGAAGGCUGCCUUUGUUAGAUUAUCCAUGUAUAAAUCAUAUCUAUAGGCAUAAUUAGUUCAUAACUUGCAGCCUACACUUUCCACCUAGAGAUCAUAUUUUAAGUCCAAAUGAAUUAAUUUGAUAAUACGAACUAGUUCAUAACUGUCCGACCUAAUCUCACAACUAGAAAGCAUGUUCGUAGGACAAUUCGCCUUUGAUUCCACCACUUCUUUACAACAGUUUAAUUGGUAAUUGCUUGACAUUCAUGUGCGUCUACUUGUGGAGGUAAAUGUGAACCAUGUUGUGCUAAUUUUUCCUCUGUGAAGUCCUAUUUGUUUAAAUUAUUUGGUUUGAAAAGCUGAGGAUGAGAACCACCCAUAUAGUUGUCCAGCACCUCUUGGACAAUAGGCAUGGGACAGGUAGGCCAAUAUAUGACACGACUUAGAAUUGAAUUGGUGUGUGUUAGGUAAAACAACAUAAAGAUAAUAAUCUGGUAGUUGGAGGUGAUAGUUUGUGCUCGCUGGAUAAUAUGAGCAACCAUUGCACUUAAAGGUUGUGAAAUUUCACGGGGUGAUCCUUUAGGCUAAAUAAUUUAGGAUCCCCCUCCCCACUAUGUCUAAUUGUUCCUACACAAUUAGUGAUCAGUAUUGUUAAGAGAUUUGGAUUUGUGUAAGUAGGUGUAACUUCUUUGUAGCCAAAAGGUUGUACCAACUAAUAUUAUUAAUAAAUGACGUAUGUUCUUUCAAACUGUUCUCUUUACAUUAUUUCCGUAUUACUUUGUAAGGCCCCGUAAAAUAUUACCUAAAACCCGAGAUUUCGUAGUGCCGAAGUAGACUUAUGCGUUGAAGAGAAGUUUUGGAAGUGCAGGGCAUUUCUGCAUCCCAUUCUGCGGUCGCAGAACUGUUCUGCAGACCGCAGAUCUGCCGCAGACUGAGGCAGAAAUCUGGGCAAAUGUUUGGACCAUUAUGCGGUCCAUUAUAUGGCCGCAUAAUCGUUUUGCAGGCCGCAUAACCCAUCGUAGACCCAGCAUAAAAAAUUUUGGAGGGCAGCCUGCGGCGCAUUAGGCGACCGCAGAAUAGGUCUGCGGACCGCAGACUGAUCACAGAGUGAGGUAGGGGUGCCCAGUUCCGGAGGGCCAUUAUGCGGCCCAUUUUGUGAAUCGCAGAAGAAUUAUGCAGUCGUAUAUGCGACCGCAGAUCUGCAUCGGGGCUUUAUUUUUCUAAAUUUUGAACCUGAGCCCAUUCUUAUAAAACAACCUUAGGGAUCUUUUUAGAAGGCUAAAACUUAUAUUUCUAGAGAGAGGGAGUGCCAUAGAGUGAGAGGGGAAGUUCCUAAGCUUAUCAUUCAUCAAUUCUUGCUCAAGGUUGAAGAAGUUACAAGAAGAAUUCACUAGGUCUUCAUCCUAGAGGUAAGAUUCUACUCCCUAGCCCUAAAUUUCGUGAUUGUAACUGAAAAUAGGUAAUAAGCCAAGCAAAUUCUUGGGCGUGGGAGUUGUUUAUUUUACAUGCAUGUACCAUCAAGGGUAGUGGGAAGAUUGUUAAGCUCAUUUAGGUAAUCUUUGGGUAGUGGGAUGAAAGAAUCCACCAUAGGAGGACCUUAGAACCUUAAUGCACACCCAGUGUUUGAUAAAAUGCUCAAGUGAGCUGGAACUAUGAACUCCUUUCUAAUUUAUAUUCAAUUUUGCUAUAUCUCUAAAUAGAUCAAAGUUGCUAGGAUUCCGAAAUUGUGUAGUGAAUUAGGGAAAGCGCAAAGCAAGGUAUGUUGGUUAAACCCUUCUCUUAGAAUUGAACCCCACAAUAUACUUGUAAGUCCUGUGAUGCUCAUUAUAAAUUGAUUAUUCCAAAUAAGCGUAGCGUCAAAAUAAUUAUGCAUUCAAUAUGUAUUCCAAAGAUUCUUGUUAUAUUAAGUCACUGUUGAGAAUGUGGUUUAAGUAUGGGCUGUGUGUUAUUACGUUAUGAUUUAAAAACGUGAUUCUAAUAAAAGCAAUCAUGUCGAUUGUGUAAGAAAUUACAUGUGCCUAAGACCCUAAUUUUCUCAAAUAUGUGUUUAAAAUCUUAAUUUGAAAGGCCUUGUUGUUGAUUAUCCAUGAUGAUAUUUAAAAGUGAAAGAAGAGAACAUGAAAUAUGAUGUGCGGCCAUCGUGCUAAGAAUGAUAUUGCAUCAUGGCCAUUGGUGCCAAUGAAAUGAAUGAUAUGAAAAAGAUUACGAAAUGAGUGGUAAAUCCUUUUUAUAAUAAACCACAGGUGCAGGUAGGCAAGCCGACGGUCCCCCUUCUUAGGAUCCCUGAUCAGUGAGAGUUUGUAUGCUCCACUUGAUCCGGAGCUGCUUUUGAUUUUGGUAUGAUAUGCUUGUAUACAUAUAUGGGUAUGACUUGGCCCAGUCCCGUCCUUGUACAGUUGUAUUUUCUAUUAGAUGUCUGUAGAUAGUUAUGUAUAGGUUGAUAGUAUGUGGCCUUGUUGGCUUCCAAUUUUGGGUAUAUAUAGUUGUCUAAAGCAGCCUUGCCGGCUCGCCCCACUGUAUUUCGUAUGUCUAUCUAUAUAUGUCUUGUGGGCAGGUUUCCCUCACAUACACUAUUCAUGUUUAUAUCUAAGACAUAUGCUUAAGGGUGUUCGACAGGUAGGACUCGGGCAUCCGUCGCGGCCCAUCGUUUUGGGUCGUCACACCUAUAGCAACUCAAAUCAUCAUAUAUGCACUUCCUGAUCAUCGUGCAAGAUAUACCACAAACAAACAACAAACUUCUAACAUCUUAAACUUAGAGAGGGACUCUAACUCACCAAAUUUUAAGCUCGGUUACCUACUCUAUCAAAUAAAGAUAAUAACAUCACCAAUCUAUCAUGAAACAAGUGACCUCACAAGAAUAAAUAGUCCAUACACUCAAAUCAAAGAAUGAAUAUAAUUUAAUGACUUAGCAUCAAAGAACAACUCUCGCACUCACAAAGAAUUCAUCUGUAUGCACAAAGAACAGGCUUGCCCAUUAUGUACAUCUCUACUAAUUAAGCAUGCUCGAAUAGAAUCAAAUAGGACUUUAACGGGUUAUAAUGUUGGUUAGGGACGAGUAGGAGAACUAUAUAAUAGUGACUCACACCUCCCUAAGCACUUUGCACUUUUAGACUUCAUCACCCAUUUUUUUCUACUCUUCACUUUAUUUUUCAGCCCUCUCUUCAUCAAUUAUUUCACAAGUAUUUCCCUUAUAUCAAGAAUGACUCAAUCAUUUUUUUCAUGUCACAUUCUUUUCAAGAGGGCCUUUUCAUCACUUUGCAGCUAUUGUUGGUCACUAUUUUUCACUUAAUUAUCUCAUUCUUCAAAUUUAUCAAUUAAUAUCACAGUCUAAGCAACAUUGCUCAAGGAAGCAGGGUGCAAAACUAGGGAUUCAACAAAAGACUCAAGGAAAAUAUACGGCUUCCAAACAAAAGGCUAAAGGCUCAAAGGGCUAACUAGUAGUACAAUAUCUGAAAAGGAUAAAAUUCACAAGACAUAUCAAAGAAAGCCUAUCAUCAUCUUCUAAACAGAGCAACACUUUUAUUUCACUUCAAUAACAUGCAUGGCAUGUUCUAGACUAAGAUGCAAAACAUAAAAUAUAUGUAAGAAAUCUUCACCCCACAUGGCACAAGCAUCAAUCAAGAUGGAUCAAUUCUACUCCAAGACAGACAGGAUCAUAGCGAAUGAUAAAAUAAGAAUAAGCUAUAUAUAGAGUCACAAUUAUGAGCUUAGGUGUCAGAAAGUCCGCUAUUUUAUUCAUUACUCAAGCACUCAGAGGAAAGUACUACUCAAGAUCAGGCUUAAAUAUGUUAGUAUCAAACAAGUCACAAAAGGUUUUUCUUCUCUCUCUUUUACUACUCCUAAAAUAAACUAAUCCUAAAAAUAAAAAAUAAAAAAAAAGUACCCGGUUCAAGUUACAUCCCCUAGAAAAGAACCGAUACACAAAGAAAAACCAAGGGAGAUUAUUAUCUAACUAAAACUAACUAGAAACAAAAAGAAAAUCUUUUUGGAAUUUUUUUAUUGGACUUUAAUCCCUCAAGAAAGCUGUCCACAAAAUCCAUCGACGGGAAAAGUCCAAGUUCUCUAAAAAAAUCUCAAUUUUCGUUUUUUUUUUCAAUUUUUCAAUUUUUUUUUACAAAUAUCACUACACUAAGAAAGAAUACUACAAUUAAGCUAGGAUAGUACAGAAAAUCACCUAGACAAUCUCCUCACCCCACACUUAAAAUUGUGCAAUGUCCUCAAUGUAUACAAUAAAUAACAAGAGGGUAAAAGAGACUCCCUGGUAGGCCAAAGGCCGAAUCAUUAGAAGCUAACGGGAUACUCAGACUUGUCUCAAUGAUGGUCCUUUAUGCGGGCACCCCACACUUAAUUUCAACCAAUCGCUUUCGCACACCUUAUUCCCACAAAAUUAAAAAUAAAUAGAAAUAACACUACAAAAAAAUAUCACAAUUAAAAAAAAAAAAAGAGAAAGAAAAAUAAAAUUGAGUUUCCUUCCAACAAGUGCUUGAUUUAACGUCAUGGCACGACGCCAUCACUUUCACCACUUUUCCUUCCACUUUGGGGAUAUGAAUUGCGCCCCUAAUUUUUCAUCAAUUUUUUCUGUCACGUUCCUUGGGUGGUGGUGUAAAAAUAAGGGAACCAAGCAAUAGAUAUCCCAUCUUGCAUUUAUUGGCCUUUAAGUGAGGGAUGUCGUUUUGUCUCCUUGGCAUGGCAAAUUUCAGAAUAUAAGCACAUUGUUCCUCAUCUAUUGACUCCUCCAUAUGCUAGAAUGGAUCAAUUCACGUGUCACCAAACAAACACAAUGUUGAAAAGUAUUUAGAAUGAGGUCCAAUGCUCUCCAACUCUAGAAUCUGUUCACUUUUGACAUCCUCACCUUUGCACAUGUCGUCAACCUUGGCACCAUUAAUAAUAUUUUGGUCGAAUAGUCAAAAUUUCUCUUUCUGCUCCACAAGCUGGCCAGUAUCUACAACAAUUGAUUGUUGGGCAUCAGACACCUCAACCUUUUCAUUCAAUUGAGCCUGCAUGUCAUGGAUAUAUGAGCUAAAUUGGUCUAUCUCCUGCAUGAGCUCAGUUCUUCCAUCUAUAGCUGUUUUGUCAUAUUUGAUAGACCAUCAUAGAGAAACUCAUGAAAUUUUAUCAGUUGAGCUUGUUCCUCUAGCCAAGAUUGGCUCACUAUAUCUGCUUCUUCAAAAUUAUCUUCUUAUGGGAACUCGCUCUCUUUAGCCACUUCUUCCGCCUUGUCCUUCAUUCUCAUGAUUGCUGCACUAAUUCUUUGUAUAGCAGUUUGAUUUUUAUCUUGUUGCUAGUCAACUUGCUUCACCAUGUCCAUAAUAUGGGCAGGACGCUCCACAUCCUCCACUUCAUUGCUCCUAUCAAACUCAUAAAUAUUAUUAGACAUAUAAUAAUAAGGGCUCAGAGAAGGGUAAAAACAAUUAGGAUAACCAUCCCAAUGGCCACCUGACAACCACACACAUUACAAAUAUUUCACUCAUAAGAUUGAGAUUCACAAUUUUGCUACAAGUGUGGUCCUCCACAAUAUGGACAUGGAUUACCAAAAUAAGAAUAAUAAAUAUUCGACCAAUUCUCAUUCCAAGAUGCCAUGUAAAAAAGAAAAAAUAAUUAAAGGAGUACUACACUAAACUAAAAUUAAAAACAUGAAUAGACAAAAAGUAAAAAUCUAAACUAGCAAAACAGUCAAUUUCAAACUCCCCGGCAACGGCGCCAAAAACAUAUUACUCCCAAACGCACACGCAAGUAUACGUGGUCGACAAGUAAUAUAGGAUUGUAAGUCCAGAUAUCGUACCCACAAAGACAUAUGAUUAACUAUCAACUAAAUUAAAGCCAAACAACAAGCAAAUCCUAAAGUAUGAAUAAUUAACUCAAAUGAAUCUAGAGUAACAAACUAAGAUAUUAAAGGAACAAGUUGGCGAAAUUAGACACGAAUUCAAUGAGAGACAAUAUUCUAGAAAUAUGGGUUGGCUAACAAUCCCGUUGAGUUUUCUACCUAAAUUGUCUAAAUAAUUUAUCUAGUUUAUUUAUUGACAAGGUUAAUAUUACUAGUAGCCUUCUCCCGAUGUACUACUCGCCUAUUCAAGCUAACCUAAUGCCUAUAUUCAUAUAGAAUUAGGAUUAACAAGAACACAUUAAUAAUUCCUGUAUAGUAACCAACAAGGCGAUUAGGUAUAUCCCUAUCCUAACCGCAAAUCCAUUCCGAUGCUCGAGUUCAAGAUCUUGCUCUACUCAAUCUUAUAUACAAUCUAGAAUUCCAUCCCCCGAGUUCAAUCCUUGUUUCGUAGAUAGUAUUCAAUUGGUGAUCAAGCAAUCAAAUAAUUAAAUACAAGAUUGAAUAAAUAUACCAAUAUGAUAAACUAAUAAGAGCAAUUCAAGUUUCAAACCAUAACAUUCAUGUAGCACCCUACAACUCUAGAACAAAUAAUUAUGAAAUAAAGGAAGAGAAGAGAAGAAACACUUGUUAGAAGCCUCCUCCAAAGCAUGGUCCGUGUUCCCCCACAUGAAUUCUCCUUCAAAGUAUGUUAGGUCCCCUCCAAAUCAGGUUUAGGACUCCUUAUAUAUGAAUUGGGACCGUGUAGGACUGAAUUAACCUUGUCCCGGAUGAAAUAGGAAAACUCCUGCCAUGCAGGGUCCAGGCCAGCGCCUCACACUGGCCCUGGCGCUAGAUCCAGUAACUUUCGCAAUCUCAACCCUUUGCUGCAUUUUUCUUGGCAUUCUAGUAUAUCUUAUUCUUUUGUCUUCCACUUGGGGGACAAAACCCAAAGGAUGUCCCCCUUUUUUUUUAUUCUUUUAGUUUUCUUUCUUCUUCCUCCGCAUUUUAUUCAAUUUUGCUCCAAAUCUUUUUAUCUUAAUACCACUUUAUUCCUACAUAGUUAAAAUAUAAUAUUAAGCAUAAAGUAAUAUAAUUAACACUCCAAAGACGAUUAAAAGUACUCGAAUGUGAGUCGACAAUGGUUAAAUAUAUGCAUUUUUGGCCGAACAUCACUUGGAUCAACAUGGUAAUAGAAACGAUCAGUUUCUUUGGUAUGAUACGUUCUUACAUGUGCAUUUGUAGCAAGGCCUUUGGGUUUUGGAGUCUGCGUGACUUGGUUGAUAUAAAGGGAUUCAGAUCUGAUCGCGUGGUUAUGUGCAAAUAGAUUUCGAAGAGUUUACAAUGGUUUUGACCACGACUUGAGGUAGAUGUCUCCUACGAGCAUCGUAUUGUAGCAUGAUAGAUGCGGUGAACCGUAUGGAAUAGAGAUUGCAUGGAAAAGGUUGCGGUCAGUUUCGAAAGGAAGGUCAUAAGUUCUGGACAUCAUGAGGGAUUUCAAGUGCGUAAGAGAAUGCUAGCGCUAUAUUGUAUCACCUAAUAAGGGUGUAUGUUAUAGAAGAUGCAUUGUAUAUUGAUUUACGACUACUUUUCUAGUACUACAGGAUCUCCUGGUUGAUAAUGUUCAUGUUUUCUACUCGAUGCAGAAGAUUUAUGAAAGUAUUUUCAUGUUGUGAUUGUGUAUGUAUAAUGUGGCAUUCAUUUAAAUGGGAGUGUUAGAGAUCAUGUAUGGAGACUGUUGCAAUCUUGAGGUUUAGAGAUUGGGUUUUCUUAAAGGCAGACUGUCUCGUUGGUUGCAGACUGUGGAAGUGUGUUAAAGGUUAGACAGCUAAUUGUAUGUAUCAUGGAUAGGGUCACUAUGGACCUUUGGAAAGUUAUUUACCUAUCUCUCAAUGGUUUGAAUCGGUUAGGGGGCAUAUAUUUGUAGGCCUAAUAAGAAUGGGUAUUGUACACUGGAUUGGAUUUGUUUACUCAACAUAGAAUUUCCUGUAGGUGUGUCAUGAGGUAGACUUAAAUUUAUUCAUGUCCUGAUCUGUUUCAUGUGUUACUCUCUUAUGCUAUGAUGGGUUGUGAGAUUACAUGAUAACUCACAUGCAUAUUGUGGUCCUAUUUAGGCCUUAUAGUGAUGUGUGAGUGAGAUGGCUCUUGAGGUAUGAUUUGCUUAUUUCACCUUAAUCGUGCUUACCAAUUUCGUAGUGAAUUAUGCUAUUCAUAUCCCCAUGGUUAUGUUUAUGCAUUGUACGUUCUUGUUGUUGAUACACAUGUGUUUGGUGAUUAUGAGAAUCUUGGAUCAAUAAGUAUUCCCAUGUGGACUGCUAUGAUGUUGGAUCGGGGUAUAUGCCGCAACGAAGUUAUGCUUGGAUUCGAUUCCUUGUUCUUAUUCCUAGAGUUUUGUUUAUCCCUUGUGGGAUGGAUUUAUAGCAUUGUGCUUUAGAGGUUGUAUUUGUUAGACUUAUGGUAUAGAUCUCUUAUUUGGUUCUCUUCUCAUUAUUGGUCAGAUCUGAGUUGUUGCUUGUAUAGUGUACGAGAUGCAUCGUAUAUAGUUCUAGGUUGCAUUUGAUGUGGCAUGUUCAUCGGGCAGAUUAUAUUAAGUGAGAUGAGAUUAUUGGACUUGGAAGCAGUGCAAUCAAUUUUUGAUAAGGUAUGUUUGAAAGAAGAAUACCAUUAGUCAGCUCGAAUUUUUCACUGGUUCUUGUUGGGAAGGAGAACUCCACAACUUGUUAUUUUCAUGGGUGGUUAUGAGUUUCUUCACAUUUCUCUUAUCAUUAAUAGUGUUAUGAGAGUUGUAACAAGGUUGUUAUUGGAUAUGAGGUAUAUUACCGGUACCGAGUUUGGUAAUAAGUAGUUAUUAUGGUCGAAAGAUAUUGCUAUGAGUAUACGAAUUAUGCGAUACAUUGUGUGGUUAUAUCUUGGGAGUAUAUUUAUGGCUUGAUGCAGCUUGUUGAGAAUGAUACAGUGUAUAUAUAUAAGAAUCGGAUCUUAGAAAGAGUUCCGAAUGUUGGAAUUUGGUCCUAAGGAUUGUAAGCUAUAGUUGAAGGAAGAAACUUCAGUUAUGAUUAUGUUGAUCGACUUAUAUGGAUGGAGGUGAUGUGAGAUCGCCCAUGGGUUUAUGUAGGACGAGUUUAUACAGUGAUUUGAUAGUUUUGGAAUGACUCUUGGCAUGUUCAAGGAUGAACGUAUGUUUAAGUGGGGGAGAAUGCAACGACCCGACCGGUCAUUUUUUGUUUUAGCAUCCCGUUCGAUGGUUUGAGACCUUGAGUAACUUCAUAUGAUGCAUUAGACUUGCGUGUAUGGUUGGUUUCGAUGUUUGAGAGGUUCGGUAUUGAUUUGGAAUAAUGAUUCUCAAUUUGAAAGCUUUGAGUAAGAAGAGGUGACUAAGGUUUGACUUCCAAGUAAAUGAUCUAGAAAUCAGGAUUUUAUGGUUUCAAUAGGUUCGUACCGUGAAUUUGAACUUGGGCGUAUGUUCAAAUUUGAAUUUGGAUGUUCCUAGAAGGUGUUUUCUCUAUUGACCAGAAAUUGACUUUGAUAUUAUCGGACUCCCAUUGUAGGUUUGAGACUUGUAACGACGCGCCCAGUCGUUUUGAGUAUUUUAGCCUUGUUUCCCCUUUUGAUGCUUUAAAUAUGUGUAUUUUUUGUUAUGUGACAAGCGGGGGCAGUUAGUUUGGCUUCGGGGAUGUUUUGAAUUUAAUUGGGACACUUAGUCUCGAGGUUGGACGCUUAAAUUGUAAGAGUUGACCGGAGUUUGAAUUUUAUGUAGACAAUCCUGGAAGGGCAUUUUGAUGGUUCCAAUAGGUUUGUAUGGUGAUUUUGGACUUAGGCGUAUAUUCAUAUUUGGAUUUGGAGUUCUGUAGGUUGAUUUUGUUAUAUUUGGCAAAAGUUGGAAAGUAAAAGCUUUGGACAGUCCAUAGGUUUAACUCAGAGUUAAAUGUGAUGUUACCGGGUUUGGAUUGCGGUUCCGAGAGUUGGACUAGGUUUGUUGUGCCAUUUUGGGACUUGUAUGAAAAAUUUGAGAUCAUUCAUAGUUGAUUUUAUGUGGUUCGGCAUGAGUUUUGGAAGUUAGAAGUUCAUUAGUUCCUUAGACUUGAAUUGAGGUGCGGUUCGUAGUUUUGAAUGUGUUUUGUGUGAUUUGAGGCCUCAAGUAGGUCUGUGCAAUAUUUUGGGAUUGGUUGGUGGGAUUGGACGGGGUCCCGGGGGCCUCGAGUUUGUUUUGGGUAAGUUUCAGAUCAUUUUGGAUUAAGUUGGCAUGGCUGAAUAUUUAUGAGUUUUGAUGUUUUCGCAUCGGUAGAAUUUUGGUCCCAGAUAUGGGGGUGAAGCCUCAGAAGUGGAUCUGGGCUGGAGAAGUCAAAGGCAAUAGAAGCGGAAGUUUGAGCGAAAAUGCGGUUGAGUGACCGGAGAUGCGGUUGGCCAACAUUUUUUGAGAGAACUCGUGGAUGCGAGAUUUUGACCGCGGAUUUCGUAUUAUGGACGGCAAAUACGGAAACAUUGGGCUGACUAUAUGAAUUUGAGAGUUUGGUCAUUUUUCAUUAUUUGGAGUUGUGGAGCUCGGCUAGAGGAUACUUUUGGGGGGAUUUUCACUACAAUUGAAGGGAUAAGUAAACUUUACUCAAUUUUGGUUGAUAUAUAUUGAUUACCCAUGGAUUAUUACACCUAGUUUAUGUGAAUUAAAGGUGAAAUUUUGGGAUUUUUACUAUCAUUUUGGAGUGUGAAAAUUGAUGAUUUGAGGGUUGAUUUGAGGUUGGAUUCAGAUGAAACAUAUAUAUUUGGGCUCAAAUCGGAAUGGGUGUUCAGAAUUUGUGAGUUUUGUCGAAUUCUGGGGUGCGGGCCCGAGGUUGACUUUUUGGGUUGACUUUGCAUAUUUGGAUCAAGAUCUUAGAUUUAAUGUUUGAGGUUGUUUUCCAUGACUUUUAUUGAUGAUAUUAAGUUUCUUUGACUAGGUUCGAGUUGCUCGGAGGUCCAUUUGCGUGGGAAGGGAUUAUUAUGAUUUCUAACAUGUUGUUGAUGCCUCAUAUGUGUAACAUUGUUGAACUUAGUACGGCGAUAUUGAGCUUGGGCCACAUAGACGAUUUGGUAUUGAUUUUGAGGUGACGCGUACGUCAGGCCCAUAUUGGACUAAGUUGUACUGACUAGGGAGGCAACACAUGCACCAGGCCCUAUGAUUGGGCUAUGUAAUUCUGAUUGUUGGCUUAUAUUCGAUUUACACUUGGGCAAGGAUCCGCCCCUUCGGAGUUUCGUAUUCACAGUGAGCGCAUGCACAAGGUCAUAUAUGUGCUUUGGUGAGGGGCAUUUAUGCUAGGCACCCGUAUAGUGCUGAGUGCGGUUGUGUGUGUGAUGGUGAGGGGCACUUGUGUCAGGCAUUGUGAGUGUGCUGAGCGUGAGUAUACUCAAUGGCUUCACUGUGGUGUUAUUGACUUGACAUGUAUAUUUGACAUGUAGUCUUAGAGAUGCAUUUUUUUUCAUGCUAGAUGGUAAAUGAAAUGUCUUAUCUAUUGUUGAAAGUUAUGAAAAUCACAUUUUUAGUGAUUUUGGUGGAAGCUUGGGCUUUGACUGUUACACUUGGAAAGCAUGUCUAAUUUUUCGUAUAGGUGAACGAGCCGAACAUGAUAUCUUUUGAGUUAUUUACUUUUACUGUCAUCAUUAUAUCAUGUGUUGUUAUUGAUUAUUGGUGUUGGACACUGACUUUCUUUUGAGAUCCUCACUUUUUUAGCCCGAGGCUAGGUUUGUUACUUAUUGAGUACAUGGGGUAGGAUGUACUCAUAUUACACUCUACACUUUAUGUGCAGAUCCAGUUACUGCUGGGCGUGGUGAUUGAAAGUGUUUGCAUCGGUUCUAGCUUGUGGAGACUACGAGGUAGCUAGUAUGUCCUAAAUAGAUAUUUUAUUAUUAUUUUGUUGUUAAGACCAUUAAGUUCUAUUAAUCGAUUUUAUUAUUAUUGUGAAACUUUUGGCUUGCCUAGCAAGCAGUGUUAGGCGUCAUCACAUCUCCAAUGGGAGUCUGGGUCGUGACAAGUUGGCAUCAGAGCACUAGGUUGCCUAGGUCUCACGGGUCAUGAGUAAGUUCAGUAGAGUCUUGCGGAUCGGUACAGAUACGUCUGUACUUAUCUACGAGAGGCUGCCGAACUAUUAGAAAACUUCACUUUCUUGCACUCUUGUCGUGCGGAUUUGUUAAUUCCAAAGUUUGAACCUUUACUCUUCUAUUCUCUCACAGAUGGUGAGGACACGUUCACCUUAUCAGGAGCUGGAGCCCUGGAAUGCAAUCACUACCCGAGGUAGAGACCAAAGACGGGGUAGAGACAGAGGUAGAGGCAGAGCUCAGCCUAGAGCGUGCGCAGCGGUACCUGAUGUUGAGCCUCAGGUAGAGCACGAGGAGGAGAUCCCUAUUCCUACUGAGCCAGUAGAACGAACUCAGGUCCCAAAUGGUUUCAUCUCUACCCCGGUACUCCAGUACGCCCUAGUCUGCUUGGUUGGUCUUAUGGAGAGUGUGGCCCAAGCCGGUAUAUUUCCUGUAGCAUCAGCCGUUUCUCAGGCUGGGUGAGGAGCCCAAACUCUCGCUACUCAAACUCCAGAGAAGAUGGCUCACAGGUAUCAAACCUUAGCAGUUCUACCAGUUAGGGUAGUUCAGCUUGUUGUUGCUAUGUAUCUCAGAGAGAGACCCACGAUAUCAGCUGAGGGCUGAAGAGGUUAGAGAAGUUCACCAAGUUGUUUCCCCUUGCUUUGGUGGUACACCUUCUAAGGACCCCUAUGAUUUCCUAGACCGUUGCCAUGAGAUAUUGCUCAACAUGGGUAUAGUGGAAUCUAAUGGAGUUGAUUUCACCAUGUUUCAGAUGCAUGGUGAUGCCAAGAGGUGGUGGUAAGUGUAUGUUCAGGAUAGGCCAGCAGGUUCACCUCUUCUCAAUUGGGCCCAGUUCUCAUAGUUGUUCUUAGAGAAGUUCAUUCCCUUCACUCAGAGAGAGGACUUCCACAAUUAGUUUGAGCGUCUUCAGUAGGGUAGCAUGACAGUUACUUAGUAUGAGACCAAAUUUGUGGAUUUAUCAAGCCAUACAGCUAUCCUGAUCCCUACUGAGAGGGAGAUGGUGCAGAGGUUUAUAGAUGGCCUUAUAUAUAGUAUCAGGAUAUAAAUGGCCAGAAAGACCGAGGAUGAUAUUUAUUUUAUUCGGGUUAUGGAGAUCGCUAGGAGGAUCGAGCGCAUUACAAUACAGGUUAGAGAGAUGACCUCUGAUAAGAGGCCUCGUCAUUUUGGAGGAUUUAGUGGUGCCUCGUCUGGAGGCCAAGGUCUGCUUGUGAGGGCCCAGUCCAGCAGACCAGUUUAUCAUUUGCCACCUCCUAGUCGAGAAGCUUCAAUACAGUCUCCGUUCAGUGAACUCCCAGCUUAGAGCUCUUAUCGCACUCCAUCAGUUCAGGGUUCAUCAGUAUUGGGCUCUUCCAACGGUUAUUCUAGUUCACGGGGUCCAUCUCAGGCCCCAUAGUCAUUCCUGAGGCUGCUCGAGUGUGGGGAUUUGGGGCAUGUGAGGAAGUAUUGCCCCAACUUUUACAGAGGUCCAGUGCAGUAAGGGGCCAGACUAUUUCUCCUCUACUAGUUGCUAUAGCACCAGAGCAGCCAGCUCGGGGUUGAGGUCAUACAGGACGAGGUCGCCCUAGAGGGGGAGGUUAAUUAGGUGGUGGAUAGGCCCGUUGCAAUGCAAUUCACGCCAGGCUAGAGGCUGAUGCUUCUGACUCCGUGAUCACAUGUAUUGUUAUCAUGUUCCAUAGGGAUGGUUAAGUGUUAUUUUACCCUGGUUCCACUUAUUCAUAUGUGUCAUCAUACUUUGCUCGUUAUUUGGAUAUGUCUCGUGAUUCUUUAGAUAUGCAUGUUCAUGUAUCUACACCGAUGGGUGAAUCUAUUAUGGUGGACCUUGUCUAUCUGUCUUGUAUGGUUACCAUUGGGGAUUACGAGACCAGAGUUGAUCUAUUACUGCUCAGCAUGGUUGAUUUUGAGGUGAUUUUAGGUAUGGAUUGUCUUUCUCCAUACCAUGUUAUUCUUGAUUAUCACGCUAAGACCAUGACGUUGGCGAUGUUGGGGUUGCCUAGGGUGAAGUAGAGAGGUUUUCUUGGUCACACUCCCAAUAGAGUGAUUUCACACUUGAGGCUCAACGUAAGGUUGAGAAGGGGUGUUAGGCAUAUUUGACCUUUGUGAAGGAUGUUAGUGCUGAUACUCCUAUCCUUGAGUCAGUUCUUGUGGUGAGUUAGUUUCCAGAUGUGUUUCCAGAAGACCUACCGGGUAUGCCACCCAACAGGGAUAUUGAUUUUGUGCUAAACACUAAGCAUAUCUCUAUUCUACCAUAUCGCAUGGAACCAGUGGAGUUAAAUGAAUUGAAGGAACAGUUUCAGAAAUUACUUGAUAGGGUUUAAUCAGACCUAGUGUGCCACCUUUGGGUGCACUGGUACUAUUUGUGAAGAAGAAACAUGAUUUUAUGAGAAUGCGCAUUGACUACAAGCAGUUGAACAAGGUUACUAUCAAGAACAAGUACCCACUACCGCUUAUUAAUGAUUUGUUCAAUCAGCUUCAGGGUGCUAGGGUAUUCUCGAAGAUUGAUUUGAGAUCGGGGUAUCACCAGUUGAAGAUCAGGGCUUUAGAUAUUUUGAAGACUGCUUUUUGGAUCCCCUAUGGACAUUAUGAGUUUGUGGUGAUGUCAUUUGGGUUGACCAAUGCCACAACAACUUUCAAGCUUUCAUGCGCAUGAUGAAUAACGUGUUUCAGCCUUAUCUGGAUUCCUUUGUUACUGUGUUUAUUGAUGAUAUAUUGGUGUAUUCUCACAGCCGUGAGGAUCAUGAGAAGCAGUUGAGGAUCGUGCUCUAGACUUUGAGGGAGAAGAAGGCAUAUGCGAAAUUCUCCAAAGGAGAGUUUUGGUUAGAAUCGGUGGCAUUCUUGGGUCAUGUAGUAUCCAGUGAGGGGAUUAAGGUGGAUCCAAAGAAGAUUGAGGAAGUUCAGAGUUGGCCCAGACCAUUUAUUGCUUCUGAGAUCUGGAGUUCCCUUGGGUUGGCUAGGUAUUAUCGCCAUUUUGUGGAUGGUUUUUCAUCUAAAGCAUCCCCAUUAACUAGAUUGAUGCAUUAGGGUUCCCCAUUAAGGUCGAGUGUGAGGAGAGCUUUCUAAAGCUCAAGACUACCUUGACUACAACUCCAGUUCUGGUUUUGCCUUUGGGAUAGAGUUCUUAUAUAGUUUAUUGUGAUGCUUCACAGAUUGGCAUUGGGUAUAUGUUGAUGCAGGAGGGGAGAGUGAUCGCUUAUUCUUUGUGUUAAUUGAAACCUCAUAAGAAGAACUACCCAUUUCACGAUUAGGAGUUAGCAGCCAUUGUUCCCGCACUCAAGAUUUGGAAACAUUAUCUUUAUGGUUUAUCUUGCGAGGUGUUCACGAAUCACAGGCGUCUGCAGUACUUAGAGCAAAAGGAUCAGAACUUGAGGCAACAGAGGUGGUUAGAGCUACUAAAGGACUAUGAUAUCACCAUUCUUUAUCAUCUCGGGAAGGCCAAUAGGUGGCCAUCGCUUUGAGUAGGAAGGCUGAGAGCAUGGGUAGUCAUGCUUUUAUCCCAGCUUGGGAGAGACUGUUAGCUUUGGAUGUUCAGGCUUUGGCCAACAGGUUAUUGAUACUCAAUUUUGCCCUCAUGCUUGCCACUUGACCAGUAUUUUUGUAAUAAUUGUUUUACAUAUUUUUUAAAUAAUAUUUCCCUGCACUACUAACCCAUAAUAAGUUUUAAAUUUCAAUCUUUUUACUAUCAUGGAAGUUUUGAACAAAUAAAUUUUAUUCUGUUAUUAUAAGUGUUUUUAAAAUGGAUUUUAGCAUUUAAUUGGUAAGCAUGCAAUUAUUGUUUCUUUAAAACUAUUUAUGAGUGAUUAAUUGUCUAACUUAAUCAUCUACAUUUCAUGCAUAUUUUAUAGUAUUUCACGUAAUUUUAUACAAUUAUAUUUGUAUUUUUAUAUUAUUUACACACUAUUUGCAAUAAUAGCAUAUAUUUUACAAAUAAUUGAAUUUUCUUGCAUUAUUUAGGUCAAAAUAGCAUUAUUAUAUUUUCCAAUCCUCAAUCAUUAUUUUGAAAGUAUUAAAUUGUAUGAAAAGCAUUUUAUUUAUCUAUUAGCUAUUUUGUUUAUUUUAUUCCUUUAAUUUUAUGCAUGCUUUAAUUCUAGCCCCAAAACAAGCCAAAAUUCAAACCCAAAUGGUCCAAACACUAGGCCCAACUACCCCAGGCCCAAAACCAAAUGACCCCUUACCAAAACCUGGUCAGGACCCAUCUCCUGACCCGCCCCAUCUCCUUUAAAUCCUGGUCGUUGAUCUCAAAUGAUCAAUGACCCCACAAUAGCCCCUCUAUUUUUAAUUACCCAACCCCCAAAUUAUAUAAACCCCUCCCCAAUUCCCCUAAAACAGACCUUAAUAACUCUCUCUCUUACUCGCACUUGCUCUAUUUUGUUCUAAAACUGUUGUGUUCAAUUAGUUAGUGGUCGGCUAAAAGCCAAGGCCACUGUGGUACUGUUUAAAACCUCAUCUGGAGCAAGAACUGCAUGGAACCCUUUUGAGGCUCUUGUGAACUCUAAAGCACUGGUGAUUUGGGGUUCUCAUUAUUCUCUUUCAUUCACUGCUGUUUGAGCCAUCGUUGAAACUCUAAUUUUUCUCAUUCUUUUCCCGUUUAUCUUGCAACUGGUUAAUGUUCUCAACUCUUGCAAUUUGAACUACUUCCCUUCUAUAUGAUCAUGUAUAUGUGAAUUAUGUAUGGAAAUAUUAAUUGAACCUUCAUGAAGAAAGCAUGACUCAGUUUCUCUGCUAUUUGUGAAUUUCUAGUGUUGUACUAUCAUUAAAUGUUUCAUUGUAAUUUCAUGGUUCAGGUGAUGUUUUGCAUUUUCCUUGCUCACUAGUCUCAAAUCUGCCUAAGUCUAAGAUUUUAAAAAUAAGCCUCAACACGUGUAGUUUAGUCUCACCAUCUGCAAUUGACUUGAAUGAAUUCAGACCUUCUCAGAGUUGGGUAUUUGCCUACUAGUUGAUUUGAUGUGCUUAUAUUGACCCUGACUUUGUAUUUAUGCCCUGUUAUGAUUUCAUGGUUAUGCCUUUCUUUAGAUUUUUCUGUUGAAACCUUCUUGGGAAGACUGGUAUCUUCUUAGAGUUGUUAUUCCGAACAUGCUUACUAUAGAAUUUCAUGCCAGAUUUUUCAUAUGUGAAUCACUAUCUGUUGGUUUCUCUGAAUUAUCUCUUGACCAUGCUCUUACUUCAGUUCUCUUUCAUGACAAAAUCUCUCAUGUAAAGGCUUUUAGUUGGGCAUUUUCUCGGAGUUAGUUUUGGAUCGUGUCUUGCUUUAAAAUUAUCAUGCCAGGGAUUCCCUAUCAGAAUUGCUGUCUUUUCAUAGUUAGUCAUUGAUCAUGUGUUACUAUAGGUUUCAUGUUAGGUCUUUAAUCUGAGUAUUUCUGAAUAAGCUAUUGAUUAUGUUUCAUCUGGAUUUCCUGUUAAGUCUUGCCUACAUGAACUAUCAUCCCCUCGGAAUUCGUUGUCUAGCAGGAACUCCUAUUUGGCUAUCCUUUUAGAAUUGGUUCAUGACUAUGUUUGCCUCGAACCCCUGUUUGUUACUUUUUGUGAUUAAGUCCUGACUAUUCUAUGGUACCCAUCCCUCUGAUAUUGUCACUUUGAACCUAUUUGAUAGACCUAGGAAGCUAUCGUAUAUAUUCAUUCUAUGUGUUCUGCAUAUCCUCCAUAAUGUAUGUGUCUGUAGGAGUCUUUAAGUGGCUCUCAAAUGUGCUUCAUGUUUGUAUCCUUGGGAUGUUUAUUUAGAAACACCUGCUCUUGCUAGUUGUAGUGCUAUGAACAAGAUGUGUGUAUGCUCCCGCCUAGAAUUUUAAGUUAUCAGAAUGAUUUGGUUUAUAUGGGUUGUCAUUCGUGUCUUCAUGCUCUCAUUGGUUGUAAUUGAUAAUGGGUGGAUAAGGGAAUUGUUUCUAUUGUUCAAGCCUGGACUGCUGGGUUAAGUUUUGGUAUUGGGCUUUGAAGUAUAUCGUCAGCACAUAGAGUAUUGGGUCGUUGUCCGUCUAAAGUCUUAAGCCUACUUGAAGGCCCAGAUGCAUUACUAGGUUACUUUACAUUUGUAAUUGGGUCUAUAGUUAUUUUAUUUGGGCCUGUAAUAAUUUAUAGAAAACAAAUGAUUGGUGAAAUUAGUUAAAAGGGGAUAGGGUAUUUUAAAUUUCGUACAAACGGGUAGAAAACAUGCCUAUAGGGUCCAAAUGAUCUUAUUUGCUACUUAUUUGCCAUGUUUUUAUUUUGGGCACUACCUGCUAAUAGACAGCAUGCCUAUAGGACCCUCAACUUUGUAUAUUCGCUUAGAAAUCAUGAUCUAGGACCCUAAGUAGCUGUUGAUUCAAUGCUGCCAAUGUGAUUUAUAACUUGUUUAGAAGACAUGCCUAUAGGACAAACUCCGAGUUAACUAGUUUGAAUAUUUACUCCUCCGCUUAAAAAUCAUGUAUUAGAAUUCAACACUUAGCUAUCAUCCCUAUAGGAGUUUUUGUUAUGUAAUUGAAACUACUUGUGCUAUUAUGUCCUUCAGCCAUGUUCUUCACACUUAUCCUCUAAGAGAUCUUGACUAUGGAGUCUAAAAAUAAGGAUUUGCAUCACUUAACUGCUGAUCUAUCUAAAAACAAUAAAAAAAGAUCGUUUAGAAAUCUUGCAUAUAUGGCUUAAACAAGGAAUCCUGCUUAUUUGUGUCACGGCCCAAAAUCCUAAACUUUCGUGAUGGCACCUAUCGUGGUAGGCAAGCCGACAUCUCUAAAUAUUCCCAACACUUUUAACAGAAAAUGAAUUAAAGCAGUUCAAACAAUGAAAGUUCUCAAAAAUGGGAUAGAAACCCAAAACACAACGUGGAAGUUCCCAACUAUCGGGGUGUCACAGAGUACAUGAGUAUUUACACAUCACAUGUUUGGAAAAUACUGUCUGUGAUAGUCUGAACUAAAUACAAUAAAUGGAAAGAUAGGAAAGGAGAGACAAGGUCUGCGAAAUGCCGGCAGCUACCUUGGAAUCUCCAGAAGAUCAACUGUGCGCUGAAAUCAACACCCACUGUGUCCGGAAACACCUGGAUCUGCACACGAAGUGCAGGGUGUAGCGUGAGUACAACCAACUCAGUAAGUAACAAGACUAAAUAAAGAACUGAAAGUAGUGACAAGUUUCACAGUCAAAGUUCAAGUACAGUGAUUUCAACAUUAGGAAAGUAGGCAUGCUUUCAAGUUCGACAAUAAAGGCAAAAACAGUUAAUUCAUGUCAAGUUCAACUGAAACAGAAGGUAAUAUCUCUCAGAGAUUUCAAGACAGUGAUAUAUGACAGCGGAAGUCCAACAAUAAUGAAGUCAAUGCAUCAUCUCAGAGCAAUAGUCACUCAGUCCUCCCAUACACUCCAACCUCACAAUCACUCUUUCCUCACAAUCACUCAUUCCUCUCAAUCACUCGGCACUCGGCACUCUCACUCAGUAGGUACCUGCGCUCACUAGGGGUGUGUACAGACUCCGGAGGGACUCCUUCAGCCCAAGCGCUAUAACAAGCUAAUCAUGGAAUAUAUCGAUGAAAUAUUUUACGGCGUGCAAUCCAAUCCCUUAAACAUCCUCACAAUCAGGCCCUCGACCACACUCAGUCCUCAACCUCGCCAGUCUCUCGGGCUCUCAAAAAUCAUGAUAAGCAGCCCAAAUAGCAAUAAUAUGAUGCAUCAAUAAUGAACGAUAGAGACUGAGAUGUAAUAUACAAUUAAAACUGUGACUGAGUACAAAACAAUAAUUUAGUAGAUAAUUCAACAUGUACACGACCUCUGUGGGUCCCUACAGUGCCAACGCAUAAUCUAAACAUGAUUUCUAGCAUGAUGUGUGGUUCAAUUUCUCUAAUACAUGGAAAAUGUAGAGAUAACAACAGAUUAUUCAACUACACACUUCCAUGGAAUUUGACCAAGUCACAAUUCCUACGGUGUACGCCCACACGCCUGUCACCUAGCAUGUGCAUCACCUCAAAACCAAAUACGUAACACGUAAUUCGGGGUGUCAUACCCUCAGAACCAAAUUUAGAAUUGUUACUAACCUCAAUCUGAGCAAAUCUCUACACCAAUACACCCUUGCCUCGCAAAACGACCAUAGAAUGACUUGAAUCUAGCCAUAAACAAUUUGAUAUAAUCAAUACGGGCUAAAGGAAUAAAAUCCAUAAGAAAAUGCUAAGUUAUUAAUCAAAAGUCAAAAAUUGACUCAAAAGCCGGCCCCCGGUCCCACGUCUCGAAAUUCGAUGAAAGUCACAAAACUCGGAAUCCCAUUCAACCACGAGUCCUCCAUACCAAAUUUAUCAAAAUCCGACACCAAAUCGUCCCCAAAAUCCCCAAAUCAAACUCUCCAAAUCCUUGGCCUUAAACCCUCAAUUUACACCUUAAUUACACACCACUAGGUGGAAAAAUCAAUGGGGAAACAAGAUUAUUGAUCAAAAAAGAGCACAAGGGACUUAUCUCAAGAAUCCCUUCGAAAACCCUCUCAAGAAUCGCCAAAACCCGAGCUUAAAAUAUUGAAAUGAAGCCAGAAUCGCGAACUCUUGUAUUUAAGUGUUCUGCCAGUACUUCCAUUUCUGCGAAAACUUAACCUCUUCUGCGGCAUCACAUAGGUGACAUCACACACGCACCUGCAGCUCAUUCUGCUCGUGCGGUCCCUCACUCCGCUUCUGCGGACUCGCUUUUGCGAGCAUUGAAGCCGUUUCUGCGGACCAAGUUUAUCUACCCAAUUUCGCUUCUGCAUUCCCCCUGCCGCAUUUGCGGUCACGCUUGUGCGGAAUUCCAUAUCGCACCUGCGCGCCUUCCUCUUCUGCGCAACUCUCACCGCACCUUCAUCUACGCAGGUGCAAAAAACUCCUAGCACCUGCGAACACCUCCACACUCCCCUCCAAACGCGCACCUGCGCAAGCCAGCUCACACAUGCGAUCAAAGCUCUGCAGGUGCGGUUACAGCAGCAGAGGUCUAUCUUCAGCAAUCUCUCCACUUCAACUUUUGAUCCGUUAACCAACCGGAAUCAACCCGAGGCCUCCGGGACCUCAAAAAAACAUACUAACAGGUGCUAAAACCUCAUACAAACUUAGUUGAGCCCUCAAAUCACAUCAAACAACUUCAAAAAUACGUAUCGCACCCCAAUUCAAGCCUAUUGAAACUAAGGAAAUUCAACUUCUACAAACGACGCCGAAACCUACCAAAACACGUCCGAUUGACCCCAAAGUUUGCACAUAAGUCACAUUUGACAUUACAGACCUACUCCAACUUUCGAAAUCAGAAUUCAACCCCCAUAUCAAAAAGUCCAUUCCCGGUCAAACUUUCCACAAAUUCAACUUUCGCCAUUUCAAGCCUAAUUCCACUACGAACCUCCAAAUCACAAUCCGGACACGUUCGUAAGUCCAAAAUUACCUAACAAAGCUAACAGAACCAUCAAAACUCCAUAAUAGCUAUAAAGUACAAAAUGAGCAGUAAAUGGGGGAAACGAGGCUAUAACUCUCAAAAUGACCGGCUGGGUCGUUACAUCCUCCCCUUCUUAAACAAACGUUCGUCCUCGAAUGGGUCAAGAAAUGUACUUGGAGUCUCAAAUAGGUGUAGAUAUAUACUCCGCAUCUCCCGCUCGGUAUCUCACAUAGCCUCCUCAAUUGGCUGACCUCUCCACUGCACAUUCACCGAAGCUAUGUCCUUUGACCUCAACUUCCGAACCUGUCGAUCCAAAAUAGCCACCGGCUCUACAUCAUAAGUCAAAUCACCAUCCAACUGAACCGUGCUGAAAUCCAAAACUUGAGACGGAUCGCCGACAUACAUCCGUAACAUAGAAACAUGAAACACUGGAUGCACACUCGACAAACUAGGUGGCAAAGAAAGCUUGUAAGCCACCUUGCUAAUCCUCUAAAGUACCUCAAAUGGCCCAAUAUACCGAGGGCUCAACUUUCCCUUCUUACCGAACCUCAUGGGUGAAACCUUGAGCAGUACCUUCUCCCCAACCAUGUAAGCAACAACACGGACCUUCCUGUCGGCAUAACUAUUCUGUCUAGAUUGCGCCGUGCAAAGCCGCUCCUGAAUCAUCUUAACCUUGUCCAAAGCAUCCUGAACCAAGUCAGUACCCAAUAGCCUAGCCUCACUCGGCUCAAACUAAACCACCAGAGAUCUACACCGUCUCCCAUACAAAGCCUCAUACGGAGCCAUCUGAAUGAUCGACUAGUAGCUGUUGUUGUAGGCCAACUCUAUGAGCGGCAGAAACUGAUCCCAUGAACCCCCAAAAUCAAUGACACAAGCGUGUAGCAUGUCCUACGAUAUCUGAAUAGUGCGCUCAGACUGUCCGUCAAUCUGAGGGUGAAACGCUGUACUCAACUCAACCUAGGUAUCCAACUCUUGCAGCACGGCUCUCCAAAACAGUGAUAUAAACUACGUGCCCCGAUCUGAAAUGAUUGACACUUGCAUGCAGUGGAGAGGGAAAAUCUCUCGAAUGUAAAUCUCAGCCAACCGCUCUGACGUAUAAGUAGUCCAAACUAGAAUGAAGUGUGUGGACUUGGUCAGCCGAUCAACAAUCACCCAAAUGGCAUUGAACUUCCUCGAAGUCUGUGGUAGCCUGACUACAAAAUCCAUAGUGAUCCGCUCCCAUUCCACUCCGAAAUCUCUAACAUCUAAAGUAAUCCUCCCGGUCUCUGAUGCUCAUACUUCACCUGCUGACAGUUGAAGCACCGAGCUACAAACCCCGCUCUAUUCUUCUGCACCAAUAAUACUGCCUCAAGUCCUGAUACAUCUUCGCGGCACGCGAAUGAAUGGAAUAACGCGAGUUGUGGGCCUCCUCGAGAAUCAACUCACGUAGCCCAUCUACAUUAGGCACACAAAUCCGACCCUGCAUCCUCAAUACUCCAUCAUCCCCAAUAGUAACAUCUCUGGCAUCACCGUGCUGAACCGUGACUUUAACGAUAAGAAAAUGGGGAUCAUCAUAUUGACGCUCUCUGAUGCGAUCAUAUAAGGAAGACCAAGAAACCACACAGGCUAGAACCUGGUUGGGCUCCAAAACAUAUAAGCUUAUGAACUGGUUGGCCAAGUCAUGAACAUUAACUACAAGAGGUCUCUCACCAACUGGAAUGAAUGAAAGGCUACCCAUACUCACUGCUUUUCUAUUCAAGGCAUCGGCCACCACAUUGGCCUUCCCAAGAUGAUAUAGAAUAGUGAUAUCAUAAUCCUUUAGCAGCUCCAACCAUCUAUGCUGCCUCAAAUUUAGAUCCUUCUAUUUCAAAUAGUGCUGGAGACUCUGAUGAUCUAUAAACACCUCACAAGAUACACCAUAGAGAUUAUGCCUCCAAAUCUUCAAUGAAUGAAUGAUGGCAGCUAACUCCAAAUCAUGGACAGGGUAGUUCUUCUCAUGAAGCUUCAACUGGCACGAAGUAUAAGCAAUGAGUCUACCCUCCUACAUCAACACACGUCCAAUACCAAUGCGAGAAGCAUCACAAUACACUAUAUAAGAGCUUGAAGCUGAAAGCAAAACUAGAACUGUAGUUGUGGUCAAGGCAGUCUUGAGCUUCUAAAAGCUCUCCUCACACUUAUCCAUCCACCAAAAAAUAGCACCCUUUUGGGUCAAUUUGGUCAAAGGCGAUGCAAUAGAUGAGAAACCCUCCACGAAUCGAUGAUAAUAACUAGCCAAGCUGAGAAAGCUUUGAAUCUCGGUAGCUGAGGACGGUCUGGGCCAACUCUGGAACGCCUCUAUCUUCUUCGGAUCCACCUGAAUCCCCUUACUGGAUACCACGUGCCCCAAGAAUGCCACUGAGCUAAGACAAAACUCACAUUUGGAGAAUUUAGCAUAAAUCUUCUCCUCCCUCAACCGCUAUAACACACUCCUCAAAUACUGGGCAUGCUCAUUUUGGCUACGAGAGUACACCGGGAUGUCAUCAAUGAACACUAUGACAAACGAGUCAAGAUAAGGCUGAAACUGUUCAUCAAAUGCAUGAAUGUUGCUGGGUCGUUGGUCAGCCCAAAAGACAUUACGAGGAACUCAUAAUGACCAUAACAGGUCCUGAAUGCUAUCUUGAGAACAUCCGAGUCUCGAAUCUUUAACUGGUGAUCCCCAGACCUCAAGUCAAUAUUAGAGAACACCCUCGCUCCCUGAAGCUGGUCAAAUAUAUCAUCAAUGCGUGACAAACGAUACUUGUUCUUGAUUGUAACUUUGUUGAACUACUUGUAAUCAAUGCACAUCUGCAUAGUACCAUCUUUCUUCUUCACAAACAGAAUCGGUGCACCCCAAGGCGACCCACUGGGCCUAAUAAACCCCUUAUCAUGAAGUUCCUGAAGCUGCUCCUUCAACUCCCUCAACUCAGCCGGUGCCAUACGAUGCAGUGGAACAGAAAUGGGCUGAGUGUCCGGCACCAAGUCAAUACCGAAAUCAAUAUCCCUGUCGGGUGGCAUGCCCGGCAGAUCUGCAGGAAACACAUCCGGAAAAACUCGCACCACCGGAACAAAAUCAAUAGUAGGAGUAUCAGCACCAACAUCCCUCACAAAGGCCAAAUAAGAUAAGCAANNNNNNNNNNNNNNNNNNNNNNNNNNNNNNNNNNNNNNNNNNNNNNNNNNNNNNNNNNNNNNNNNNNNNNNNNNNNNNNNNNNNNNNNNNNNNNNNNNNNNNNNNNNNNNNNNNNNNNNNNNNNNNNNNNNNNNNNNNNNNNNNNNNNNNNNNNNNNNNNNNNNNNNNNNNNNNNNNNNNNNNNNNNNNNNNNNNNNNNNNNNNNNNNNNNNNNNNNNNNNNNNNNNNNNNNNNNNNNNNNNNNNNNNNNNNNNNNNNNNNNNNNNNNNNNNNNNNNNNNNNNNNNNNNNNNNNNNNNNNNNNNNNNNNNNNNNNNNNNNNNNNNNNNNNNNNNNNNNNNNNNNNNNNNNNNNNNNNNNNNNNNNNNNNNNNNNNNNNNNNNNNNNNNNNNNNNNNNNNNNNNNNNNNNNNNNNNNNNNNNNNNNNNNNNNNNNNNNNNNNNNNNNNNNNNNNNNNNNNNNNNNNNNNNNNNNNNNNNNNNNNNNNNNNNNNNNNNAAGAUUCACGUCGAAGUCCACCAUACUAAGUAAUAAAAGAUCAACUCUAGUCUCCAAUCCCCCAAUAGUGACUACACAUGACCGAUAUACACGGUCCACAAUAAUAGUAUCGCCCACUGGCAUAGAUACAUGAACAGAUGAAACUAAGGACUCACGGGGCAUAACUAGAAAAUAAGCAAAAUACGAUGAUACAUACGAACAAAUAGAACCAAGGCCAAAUAAUAUAGAGGCAUCCAUGUGGCAUACUGAAACAAUACCUGUGAUCACUGCUUCGUAAGCAACAAUAUCUAUUCUGGCAAGAAUAGCAUAGAAUUGGGCCUGGCCUCCACCUGAUCGUCCUCUCCCUCUUGGACGACACCUAGCUGACUAAGCCCUACCCCGAGCUAGCUGGGCGGGUGGUGAAGUAACUAGUGCUGAAGUCGCAACCUGACUCCUCUGCUGCACUGAACCUCCCAGGCGACGAUGAGACUACCUCCACAUAUGACAAAACUCCCCGCACUCAAAGAAACUCCCCGGUGCUGGUGGUGGGGACUGAAUAAAGCCCCGAUCACCGGGAUAACUGCUAGAAGGACCCGACAUAGAUGAACCCUUAGAUGAUAAAGCACGGAAUAAACUCUGAGCUGGAAGGGCACUGAGAGAUGACUGACCCUGAUGAGAACUGUACGAAUCAUGGCUGGAUGAUGCAAAACGGUGAACUAGACGAGUAGUCUGAGCGUGCCUAUAAGAAAGACCCCUGCCGUGGAAGAACUGACCUCUAGAAGGAACACCGCCGAAACUACCCGAUCCAGGAGGCCUCUUAACCUCCCUCUCUCCAUGCUGCUGGCUACAAACUAACUCUAUAUGCCGAGCAAUAUCAACCAUCUCAUCGAAAGUAGCACCAGACACCCUCUAAGCAACCCCAGCUGAUAUGUGAGGCCAUCAAUGAACCUCCUAAUCCUCUCCCUAUCAAUGGGAACCAACCAAACUACGUGACGAGCCAACUCAAAAAACCUCAUCUCGUAUUGCAUCAUAGACAUGCCUUCAUGUCGUAACUGCUCAAACUGUCUACGUAGCUCCUGCCUACGAGACUACAUCACGAACUUCUCCAAGAAAAGAGCGGAGAAUUACUACCAUGUAAGUGGUGCUGCACCAACCGGCAUGCGCCUCUCAUAAGCCUCCCACCAUCUGAAGGCAGCCCUAGUGAACUGAAAAGUAGUGAAAGAGACCUCACUAGUCUCACGAAUACCAGGCGUGCGAAAAAUCUGUUGGCACUUAUCCAAGAAACCUUGGGCAUCCUCUAACUCAACACCGCUAAAUAAUGGAGGCUGAAGCCUCCCAAAUCUCUUAAGUCUUCUCUGCUCAUCAUCAGUCAUAACGGGGAGCACCGGGGCCUGAGCAGCUGCAACCGGCUGGGCUGGUAAUACCCCCAGUGUCUGAAGUCCCUGCAUCACCCGCUCUAGAGUACGGGCGGCGGGGGUAUGUAUACCUUCCAUGGCCUGAGAAGUGGCUGGUGUGGCCUGAGCCGUAACAACCUGAGCAAGGCCAGUACAAAUCGUCAAUAUCUGGGCCAAAGCCUCAUGAAGGCCUGGAACCACAACAGGCACAGCUAGUGUCUGAGCUGGCCCCACUGGCUCAACUACAUCUGGAACCUGCUCCUGAGCCGGAGCAACUGGUGGAUCUGCAGGUGCUGCUCUAGCUAUUGUACGAGCUGCACCUCUGCCCCUACCAUGGCCCCUACUGCCACCUCAGCCUCUCGUGACCCUAGCUGGUGGUACUGGUGGUUGUCCAUAUUGUUUGGUAGCACGUGUCCUCACCAUCUUUGAGAGAAUAGAGUACAAAAGUUUAGUUACCAAAAUCAACAAAUCUGCACGACAAGAAUACAUGAAUGUGAAGUAUCCUAAGGGUUCGGCAGCCUCUCGAAGAUAAGUACAGACGUCUCCGUACCGAUCCACAAGACUCUACUAAACAUACUCAUGACUCUUGAGACUUAUGUAACCUAGGCUUUGAUACCAACCUGUCACGACCCAAAAUUCCAACCUAUCGUGAUGGGGCCUAUCGUCGUACUAGGCAAUCCAACAUUUAGAAAUAGUCCCAACACUUUUAACAGAAAAUAAAUUAAAGCAGUUUAAACAAUGAAAGUUCUCAUAAACGGGAUAUAAACCCAAAACACAACGCGAAAGUUCCCAACUAUCGGGGUGUCACAGAGUACAUGAGCAUCUAUAUAUCACUAGUUUAGAAAAUACUGUAUGUGAUAGUCUGAACGAAAUACAAUAAAUGGAAAGAUAGGGAAGGAGAGACAAGGUAUGCGAAUAGCUACUUUGGAAUCUCCAGAAGAUCAACUAUGCACUGAAAUCAACACCCACCAUGUCCGAAAAUACCUGGAUCUGCACACAAAGUGCAUGGUGCAGCGUGAGUUCAACCAACUCAGUAAGUAACAAGACUAAAUAAAGAACUGAAAGUAGUGACGAUCUUCACAGUCAGUUCUCCCAUACACUCCAACCUCACAAUAACUCUUUCCUCACAAUCACUCAUUCCUCUCAAUCACUUAGCACUCGACACUCGGCACUCUCACUCAGUAGGUACAUGCGCUCACUAUGGGUAUGUACAGACUCCGGAGGGGCUCCUUCAGCCCAAGAGCUAUAACAAGCCAAUCAUGGCAUAUAUCAGUGAAACAUGCUGCGGCGUACAGCCCGAUCCCAUAAACAUCCUCACAAUCAGGGCCUCGGCUUCACUCAGUCAUCAACAUCUCUAGUCUCUCGGGCUCUCGGAAAUCAUGAUAAGCAUCCCAAACAGCAAUAAUAUGAUGCAUCAAUAAUGAACAAUAGAGACUGAGAUGUAAUAUACAAGUAAAACUAUGACUGAGUACAAAACAGCAAUUUAGCAGAUAAUUCAACAUGUACACGACCUAUGUGGGUCCCUAUAGUGCCAACACAUAGUCUAAACAUGAUUUCUAGCAUGAUUUGUGAUUCAAUUUCUCUAAUACAUAGAGAAUGUACAAAUAACAACAGAUUAUUAAACUACACAGCCCCAUGGAAUUUGACCAAGUCACAAUUCCUGCGGUGCACGCCCUUAUGCCCGUCACCUAGCAUGUGUGUCACCUCAAAACCAAAUAUGUGACAUGUAAUAUGGGGUGUCGUACCCUCAGAACCAGAUUUAGAACUGUUACUUACCUCAAUCCGAGCAAAUCUCUACUCCAAUACACCCUUGCUUCACAAAACGGCCUCCGAAGAAAAUGCUAAAGGAAUAAACUCCAUAAGAAAAUGCUAAGUUUUUAAUCAAAAGCCAAAAAUCCACUCAAAAGUCAGAUCCCGGGCCCACGUCUCGAAAUUCGAUAAAAGUCAUAAAACUCGGAAGCCCAUUCAACCACGAGUCCAACCAUAUCAAAUUAAUGAAAAUCUGACACCAAAUCGUCCCCCAAAUCCCCAAAUCAAACUCUCUAAAUCCCUAGUCUUACCCUCAAUUUACACCUUAAAUAUACACCAACAAGUUGAGAAAAUCAAUGGGGAAAUAAUAUUAUUGAUAAAAAAUGAGCACAAGGGACUUACCUCAAGAAUCCCUUCGAAAACCCUCUCAAGAGUGGCCAAAACCCGAGCUCAAAAUGUUGAAAUGAAGCCAAAAUCGCAAACCCUUGCAUUUAAGUGUUCCGCGAGCACUUUAGCUUCUGAGGAAACAUAACCGCUUCUGCAGCGUCACAGAAGCGGCAUCACACACGCAUCUGCGGCUCAUUCUGCUUCUGCAGUCCCUAACUUUGCUUCUGCGGACUCACUUCUAUUAGCAUCCACGCCACUUCUGUGGACCAAGCUCAUCUGCCCAGUUCCACUUCUGCGGUCCCCCUGCCGCAUCUGCGGUCACGCGGGUGCGGAAUUCCCUAUCACACCUGUGCGCCUUCCGCUUCUGCGCACCUGCGGUCAUGCAGGUGCAAAAAACUCAACGCACCUGCGACCACCUGCACAAUCCCCUCCAACUCGCACCUACGCAAGCCAGCCCACACCUACCAGCUCGCACCUGUGAUCAAAGCUCUGCAGGUGCGGUUACACCAGCAGAGGUCUAUCUUUAGCAAUCUCUCCACUUCAACUUUUGAUCCAUUAACCAACCGGAAUCAACCCGAGGCGCCCGGGACCUCAACAAAACAUACUAACAGGUGCUAAAACCUCAUACAAACUUAGUUGAGCCUUCAAAUCACAUCAAACAACUUCAAAAACACGGAUCGCACCCCAAUUCAAGCCUAUUGAAACUAAGGAAAUUCAACUUCUACAAACAACGCCGAAACGUAUCAAAACACAUCCGAUUAACCCCAAAUUUUGCACAUAAGUCACAUUUCACAUUACGGACCUACUUCAACUUUCGAAAUCGGAAUUCGACCCCGAUAUCAAAAUGUCCACUCCUUGUUAAACGUUCCAAAAAUUCAACUUUUACCAUUUCAAGCCUAAUUCUACUACGGACUUCCAAAUCACAAUCCGGACACGCUCCUAAGUCAAAAAUCACCAAACAGAGCUAACGAAACCAUCAAAACUCCAUUUCGGAGUAGUUUACUUAUAGAUCAACAUCCGGUUAAUCAUUUCAACUUAAGCUUUCAACCUUAAGACUAAGUAUUUCAUUUCAGUCUGAAAUCUCUCCGGACCCGAACCGACUACCCCGGCAAGUCAGAUAAUAGCUAUAAAGUACAAAAUGAGUUGUAAAUAGGGUAAACAGGUCUAUAACUCUCAAAACGAUAGGCCGAGUCGCUACAGUUUGAUUACCUGCGUAUGAAUUCUAAGCAUGAUUAAUUAUAACUGAUCGCCUAUGUAUUCGUAUAGAGCCCAUGCCUUAGGCUUAAUUAAUUCCAUACACAACUGCUUGUCUUAGAAGAGCAUUUGUCUUGUCCAUUCUGCUAUUGUCUAUCGUUGUUGUUUGACCAUUACUCGACGUGCAUAUGAAUCUACGUGUAGAGGUAAACAUGAGCCCAUUUAUUCUAAUUGUUGCAUUAUAUGGAGUCAUAUUUGUUUCUAUUACAUGACGCCUAGUCUUCUAAUUUUGAGCAUCCUACGAAGAGUCGAGAACCACCUAUAUAGAGGCCAAUGCCUCAUGGACCAUAAGCAUGGGAUGGUUAGGCACAAGUAGGGUACGACCUAGAAUCGAAUUAGUGGGCUUUAGGUUAACAACUUAUAAUAGUAAUCGGGUAGCUGGACAUGAUAGUUUAUGAUCGCUAGAUAAUAUAAGAAACUAUUGCACUCAUAAGGGUUGUGAAGUAUUAUUUAUGUUGCACGGGGGUGAUCCUUCGGGCUUAAAUAUUUAGGACCGCGCAUUGUGUUUAAUUGUUCCUUGUAUAUUUAGUUUGUUGGAAUCUAGAUUCAACUAAGUUACACCUUGUAGUCUCCAAGGAGUUGUACCAAUUAGUUUGUUAAUGAAUGAAGUUUACUCUUGCAGAUUAUUUCUUUCAUUAUUUGCGCAGUAUUUCUUCGACUAAUUAUCUCCUUUCACUUAGAAAUAACUAAUUUCUUACCUAGACCUUUGCUCUUUUAGUUUAAUAAUAAACUCAUUUUGCAUGACCACUUAGGAUAAAUAGCUAUAAAUUCGAUAAAUCCCACAUAAUAUGAAAUUCGGCUGAGAACCACAGUUGUGGACCUCGAAGAGUACCUAACACCUUCUCUCCGAGGUAAUUUGAGACCUUACCCGAUCUUUGGUAAUACAUACUAGUUGAAACAGAGUUAUUUAAAAAUAGGUUCCUUAAUGCACCUUAAAAUCGUUAGGUGGUGACUUUUCUCUUUUAAUACCUAUUUAAAAGAGUUAUCAAGUGUCGAAAUCCGCUUUCGCGAGAAAAUAAGGCGUGACACCAUCGCGACUAUGCUGGGGAUUACUUAGGCUUUUACAAUAACAAUUUAUGCCUGUGUGGAGUUGGUCAUUGAAAUGCUUUAUUUGACUUCUUUCAUGCAUAUCCUUUUCCCGUCUCUUUACUUGCUUGAAAUUGUUAUACCAUGAACCUCUCUUUCCUCUCUCAUCUAUUUGCUUUAUUGGUUUAAUUAUGUUUUUCGAACUUUGUGAACCAUGCUAACUAUUUCAUUUUUUUUUCUUUUUCUUUUUCUUUUUCUUCCUUUCUUAUUUUAUCGCAUUAUUUAAUACUGCAUUUAUGUACUUUUGACCAUCUAAAAUUACAUGACUAUAUAUUACUUCUUUUUGCUUAAGCAUGCUUUCAAGAUUAUAUUCUACUCGUGCCCAUUAUCAACAUAGCGACGCUUGAUGAGUGUCCGCAUUUUUCAAAAAUACCCUUUUUAAAUCAGAAAGGCUUAUUAGCGGUAGACUAGUCGAUCAGUGGUGCAGUCGACGGUCCCGUGCCUUUCCCUCUCAAGUUGUCCGCUUGAGAGUAUGGAUCUAGACCAUUUUUAGAAACCUACUCUAAUUGGAAUACGCAUGUAUCAUGUUAAACCUAGAAUGUAUUAAAUACCCAUGGCAUAUUAAAUCCAUUUAGAUAAACCUUGUCCAAAGUCCUAAGGGAUCUCUACAAUCCCGAGGGACACAUUCAUACUAUGUGCAUUACUUGGAGAAAAUGUGCCAAUGUGUUGGUUAUUAUCGCUUAAUUAAUCAAAUCAGGAGAGGGAAGGGAUAACUCUUUUCUUCUAUGCAUAACAAUGAAGCACAACGUUCGUAGGUUCGGUAUGGUCCAGAACAUUCCACCCAAGUUGAUCUAUUGGUGGAUCGACCUCCCUCAGUAUGAUAGUGUGAUGAUCAGUUGAUGAGGAGGUGUAUUCCUAAAAAGGAGAUGGAAUUGGUGUUGUAUGACUGCCAUGCCUCACCUUAUGGAGGCCAUCAUGGAGGCGAUAGGACAUAUGCAAAGGUGUUACAAUCGGUGUUCUAUUGUCCAAUAUUAUUCAAGGAUGUCCAUGUAUUUGUUAAGAAGUGUGAACAGUGUCAAAGAACAGGAACAAUCACGAGGAGGCAUGAAAUGCCUUUGAAUAAUAUCCCGGAGGUAGAGAUUUUUUAUGUGUGGGGCAUAAACUUCAUGGUACCAUUCCCAUUGUCUAUAGGAAACAAUUAUAUUUUGCUAGCGGUGGAUUAUGUAUCAAAAUGGGAAGAGGCGGUCACAUUGCCAACCAAUGAUGCCAAGGUGGUAUCCACUUUUGUGAAGAAAAAUAUAUUCUCGUGAUUUGGGACUCAACGUGCCUUGAUUAGUGAUGAAGGAACACAUUUUUGCAAUCUAUUAUUGAAUAACCUUCUAGCCAAAUAUGGAGUCCGCCAUAAAGUUUCCAUAUCAUAUCAUCCGCAAACAAGUGGUCAGGCUAAAGUGUCAAACAGAGAAAUAAAGCAGAUAUUAGAGAAGACAAUGAGUGUGAACAGGAAAGAUUGGCUGCAAAGCUAGAUGAUGCCUUGUGGGAAUAUAGAACUGCAUACAAAACACCAAUUGUGGUGUCCCCGUAUAAGCUUGUUUAUGGGAAGGAAUAUCACUUGCCGGUUGAACUUGAACAUAAGGCGCAUUGGGCGGUCAAGAAGUUGAAUAUGGACUUUGAAGUCGCGGGUAAGAAGAGGUUCUUGCAGUUAGAUGAUAUAGAUGAGUUCAGGCUGCACUCCUAUGAAAAUGCUAAGCUUUACAAGGAGAAAACAAAAAAGAUGGCAUGACAAGUGUAUCAAGUCGCUUCACUUUGAACCGGCCCAAAAGGUACUAUUGUUCAAUUCUAGGCUUAAGUUAUUUCUUGGAAAGUUAAAAUCGAGGUGGUCAGGUCCAUUUGAGGUGGUGAGAGUCACUACUUAUGGUGCAAUUGAGUUGCGUGCUUUAAAUGGUGAAAGAAAGUUUUUGGUUAAUGGGCAAAGAGUCAAGCAUUAUUGGGGAGGUGUCAUUGAUCGUCAGAGAUCCAAAGUAAUACUCGCUAACGAGUAAGCGAGGCCCUGCAUCAUGUCGCGAUAUUAAAUUAGGUGCUUGUUGGGAGGCAACCCAAUUUAUAGUGUAGUGUAGUUAGUUUAAUUAGCUUUUAACGUUGAUUUUAGGUACUAACGAGUCUUGGUUGAAUUUUGAGGUUUGAAUAGGUACGAGAGCAUGUAAGAGGCUAAUUAAACUCAUAAGGAAGUCCAAAAUACGAAGGAUCUCUCUACAGAAUUGGCCUGGCCCAGCCCAGCGUGCACGCCCAUCUCGCGUUACACUGGGCGUCGCUUGGCCAAGUGCUAAGUCUAGCUCGUGCCCCAAUGGGCGUCGCAGGCAUGAAGCUUGCAUCACAGUGAGCAUCGCCCAGCCUAGCACCCGGUACAGCUCGCGUGAGAGUGGGCGUUGCCAGGUAAGUUUUCUUUUCAUUUUAAUUUUAAAAACCCUCAACACUCCAUUCUAACACCCUCUUACAAUAUAAGACACAAACACACGCACAACACUCCCUCACAAACACACACUGCCACCCUCUCAUCUCUCCCCUUCUCUCAACCAAACCCGUCCCAUUCUCAUCUCACUCAACACUCUCUCAAAAUUCACCACUAAUUGAAGACUCUCUCCUCCUCUACAACAUUCAAGGUAUGGAUUCUUCUCUUCUUCCCUCUAGUUUGGGAACAAUUGAGGUAACAAUUACAAAGUGAAAAAUCUAUGAGUGCUAUGAAUGAGAAAUUUUUCAUGCUUGUCCCAACCCCAUAAGACCCCUUAGGAUUGUUAUUCUUGUUGUUUAUAUGAGUGUGUACACUCGAAUCCCAAUCCAAUUUGGGAGGGUGAGGCAAUCCCUAACCCACACAAAAGCUUCAAUCAUACUAGUGCGUACCGUGUGUUUGACAGAAUGUUUCAAAAGCAUGUUAUGUUCCAAUUGGAGCCCGAGUCUCCCGGAUUGAUACACUAGGAGGUUGUAAACAUCCCGAACAUCAAAAUUAAGUGUGGGGUGGCUCACUAGAGCGGGGUUGAAGGGUUAAAGCAUUGCACUUACAUAGAAUUACAUCAUGAACUAAUAGUCUUGUAGCGCUAAUUAUUGCUUAAAUUCAAGGGUGAAGUCUGAGUAGCCUCGAAUUACUUGACAACUAGAUGCUAAACUGCUAAGUGUGGGGUCGUGCGACCAUGUUUCAAAUUGAUUAAAUGCCUUCUAAAAUUGACUGACGUUCACUUGUGCAGGUACAAAACAAAGAUGGUGCGACCAAAUGAUAAGGGAAUAGGCAAAGUUGCGGCCACCACAAAGGGGAAGACAUCCUUUGUUCCACCACCAAAGAAGCGAAAAGGGGGAGAAGCCACAUCCAGUCAGGCUGAGGGGCUGGGGCAGUUGUAGCAAUGGCAACCUCAGUCCCAAGCCCCAGAGGAAACAAAAGUAUGGAAUUAAAAGUAUACAUGUCUCUCUUAAAGCACGGUACAAGAAUUGUCGCCCCAAGCAUAUGCAUCCUGAUAUGGCCAUUCAGGAGCGUCGCUUAAGAGCUAAGUAUCCGAUGAUCUGGAAAUCUGUUCUUGGAUUGGGCUUUAUAUUUAGGAACCUCAGUGACAUUAAUGUGAAUCUUGUAUGGGAGUUUUAUAUCAGAUUUGAUCCAAAUGAUCCAAAGUCGUACGUUCCUAUUCGGGGUAGAUUGAUUGACUUUUCAGCCACAACAAUCUGCAACUACUUAGGGACCCCAGAUGUCUCACAUGAGCCUCUGGGCAAUUUCAUUACCCUCCCAACGUAUCGAGAACUGAGACACACAUUAUGUGGUGUCAAUUCUAUGGCCGCCUGGGUCUGUGAAAAGAAGACCGGCCUCCAUAAGAAAUUCCCGAAGAAGAAGAUGAAAAUAGAGGCACAUGUUUGGUUGAAGUUGAUUAAAACUCGGUUGCUGCCAUGCAAUCAUAGCGCUUUGAUCAGGAGAGAUAGGGUGUGCUUGCUGUACUUUUUGAUGAUCGGCCAAAAAGUUAAUGUGGGUCGUCUGAUAUGUCACCAAAUGACGCUUAUGAGAAAGAGUAAGAGGGUUGAUAGACUAUUCUUUGGCAAUAUGUUGACUCAAUAUCUGAAGAAGGAAAAGGUAGGAGAGGAGAAAUAAUUUGAUAUAAUCAUCCCAGUACUCCUUCGUGGGAUGGACAUCACUAGCAUCCAUCUGAAGAAUGAGGCUGAUGUGGCUUCCCUCAUUGGUCCUGAAUUAAAUGCUCGAGAUGAUAGUUUUAUGGCCCAUGUUUAUGGGAUGUUGGACCUACAGCUGCAGAUUAGAGGGCGGCUAGGUACCAAGAAGAAAGAGACUAUUUGCAUGCGCAGUACUCACUCCAUGCCCAUGCAGAGCAUCUGGUGGGGCUUGGCCAGGAUCGGUGCUUGCCCGAGGUUGAAAAUGUUGACACGCCCGAGUGUUUUGCGGCUGAGCCAGAGCAUGCUGAUGAGGAUGAUGAGCCAGGGGAUGAUGAUGUAGACUGGGCAACUGCAGACAUGGCCUUCAAUGAUGAGGGCGAUAACGAGGAGUGACCAGGGAGUUUUCGUUUCACCUUACUUGUUUUUAUUGUAUUAUAUGCAUUGAGGUCAUUGCAUAAAAUUAAGUGUGGGGCGGGAAUUCUCUGGAUCAUGUAUAUAGUAGGUUAGUGCUAGUUAGUAUUUUUUUUAGUUUAGUAAUUUUUAUCUUAGAUUCUUUUUUUUUAAGUUGAAAAACAAUUAUUAUUAUAAAAUACAGAGAAUCAAAAAAAAUUAUAUUAGAAAAUUUAAACUUUUCCGGACAAUGGAUCUCGUAGGCGGUUUUCUUGAGGGAUUAAGUCUAACAAAAAAAUUUGAAAAACAAAAACAUGUCUUUUGUUUUCCUUUAGGUAGUAAUAAUCCCCCGUGAUUUUUCUUUGUACCUCGGUUCCUUUUCAUGGGAUGUAGUUGAACCGGAUAAUAAUUUUUUUAUUUUUAGAGUAGAUUAGGAUGUAGGAAAUAAAAGGAAGAAGAAUGAUGUAAUUCCUAGGCACCCAAGACUUGUUUGAUAGUAGCAUAUUUCGGCUUUGGCAUGUGUAGUAUCUUCCUUAUGUUUUAAAAUUAUUCAUGAUGCCUUGAUGAAAUUGGAUAGCAUGUCUUGUGACGCUUAUGUCUCUUUUACUUGACUAUUGUUCACUUUGUGCUAAAUGCUUAAUAUCUUGUGGCUCCGUGAAUACUUGCAUUGUUUGAGAGUCGGAAUGAGACCGUCCUUAGUGAGUCAUGUGUCAUGUGUGAAGUGAGAUUUUGUGUAGUCCAUAUUAUCGUGAUUGAGUCUAGAACUUGCCCGGUAUGUGAGUUGAACCGAAAUUUUAGGUGAUGCUUGGUUUGAAAAAUGAUUUUAGGCUUUAUUUGACCUUUUUGAGCCUAGUGCUUAUUACAAAUAAAAUCUAUCCCUAGUAAACCCUUUUGAGCCUAUAGACUUUUAUUUGGCACCCACAUUACGAGCCUAUAUGUCACGACCCAAAUUCAUGUGACCGGCACCCGGCACAUUAUCUGACCCGAGCGAACCAACUCAUAUGAUGCACCCAAACCAUAUGCAUGAAAAUCAAUUUAACUGCGGAAGCUCUUUAAAAAUCAUAUAUAUAUUCAAGUUAAAUGAUGUAAUAUUUUUCUAAUUCAACAAUACAUGAAGCCUCUCAUAAUCAUAACAAUGAGACUAAGUAAAAUAAAUAUCUUUUCAUGUAUAUCGUGUACAACCCCAUUACUACAACUAUUCAUAAUUAUCUAUGGAGCCUCUAUACCAAGAACAGAAAUCAAUAUUUGGGCCAAUGCCCGUCUAACAAAAAAUAUAAAGAUAACACGAUAGCUAUCACGAAAUAGGAGUGGUGUAUCACAGUAUACUUUGAGAAGAGAGUCAUCCUAGCCAUGUCUUCAUGCACAUAAUAUACUCCUCAUCCUGAAACAUGUAAAGUAAGUGGGGCCCUGGAGCCUGAGUACACCACGGCGGUACUUAAGAAGUGUCAUAGACUCUCUCUAACUCAAGUUCCUGGGACAAGAUUUACAAAAACUAUGCGACCAAUAUUUGACAUAAAGUAAUAAACAGUUAUAUAAAGUAUGAUCUUUAUCAUUUUAAAGAAAAGACAAAUGAAAUGUAAGUCAUGCUAUAAAGUUUUAGAACGUCUCUAUCAACCCAAGAUUUUAAUAGAAAUCAUAUAAAACCAUUUCAAUCUCCUUAAUUCAUUAAAAUUAUUUUCAGCUCCUUAGGCCUAAACAUAAGAAAGUUCUCUUUUACCUUUCAUCGGGAGUACUAUACCGACACCGACAUAAUGAACAACUACUAGGUGAUCGACCUAGCAACAAGUAUUUGACCCUACUUGUCUGGGCGGCUUCCCGUAGUUCCAUACGAGUCGAAUUAAUCUCAUUAAUUUAAGUAAUGAUCAUUUGCCCUCUCAAUGAGGGACUUUAUCCCACAAACCUCGGCUUAGCCUUGGAAUGUGUCCCUACACCGGCACGUAUAAUUCCAUGGUAACGAACUUAACAAUCGAACCAAUCUCGGUGGUCUCCACUAGUAACUCCCAAAAUAUUUUACAUAUCAAAAAUAGAUUCAUAGCAUAAUAGCCUCAAAUGAUCUAUUUUUAUCAAAUCAUGAUUUUCGUAGCUAAUCCAAACCAUGUGAACAAAAUCAAAUGAAUAACCUUUUUCAUGUUAAAACCUUUAGCAAUUUAACAUCAAUCUAAAGAUACAACAAGUGCUACUCCUUUGUUAGAAUUUCAAAAGACAAACUUUUUCAUGAAAACAUAUCUUUAGCACUCAAGCAUUUUAUAUUCUUAUCAAUAGAUAAGUUUUAAUAAAACUUACAAUAUUUUCAUAAGUGUCAAUUUGCCAACAAUUUUUGAAAAUAAGAUUUUUAUAAAAUUACAUGACACUUCAUAAGCAACAAAUUUAGAAACACGUGGUGACAUCUUUUCCGCUUGUCCUCACAAGUACGGAUGUACAUUUAUAAAUAAUAUAAUGUAUCAACUCAAAACAUGCUUUUAGAGAGAAUCCCUCAAAAGGAAGAGUAAGUCUUAAUCAACUUACCUCAAACUUCAAGCUCCAAAAAUACUACAAUGCUCCAAUUGAUUAAAAAUCCCAAAUAUCACGUACAAUUCAAUAUCUACCAUUAGAUAUCCCAACAACAUCAAAACAAAUACGAAAAUAUUUAUAAAUAUCUAUUUAGGCUUCACAAUUUGGCUAUAAGCCUUCAACCAUCCCAAAUUAUCCGAUAGGUUCACCCAUUAGCCUAUUCAAUUUCAUUCUUAUUAUUUAAUACUCAUUUGGAGUCAUUAAUGAUACUACGUUAAUUACCCAAAAUCUUCAAGUCACUAUUCAUUGUCUUCUCCAGCAAAACUCUAAGUUCAAGAACAUCCAUUUCAAGAACUAGUGUUGUAUCUUAUCCAAAUGGUCUCGAUACAAUUCGUUCAUAAAUUAAGUUAUCACGUCUAUUGAAAUUAUUAAAAACUCAAAACAUAUCCAUUUAUAUCAAUUCAUUACUAUUCAUCUUCUUCUUUGCCCAAAAUAUCUUUUUCAAGACCCAUCCUUAGGGUUCAUACAAUAUCCCAUUACAACUUCAAAUAAAACGCAUAAAUAUGCUACUCAUACUCCAAUAUGUCAUAUAUAUAAAGCUCAAGUGAAGAGAUUACCUCUUGAUGGAAGAAUCUCACUUUUUCUCUUUUUAGUGUUCUUGAAGAUUCAACUCAUUUUCUAUGGAUUUGAUCCAUAAUAAUGUUAGUGCUAUCACUAAAUGAUGUUAUAUAAUCAUCCUUGUAAAAAAAAUAACUUAUCUUGAAGUGUGUCCAUGGUGGAAGAGCUCCUCCUUCUCUCUAGAAACCCAUUCCAAGUUGAAGAACUAACUCUCCCCUUGUUUCAGCCCUUAUAAAAUGGCCCCUAAACCUGCGUAGCCUACGCAUAAAACCUACGCAGGAGGCCUUCCCUCGGCCAAAAUCUGAAAUUGGCUACGCAGGUUGCGUAGUUUGUUACGUAGCUGCACUACCACCUUCUGGUAAAAAGUCCAUAACUCAUUGUACAAAUAUCCAAAUGACAAAUGGUUUGAAUCAUUAGAUACUAGACACAUAGAACUUUCAUUUGAUAGGUCAUAAAUCAUACAACACUUCAUAUAUUGAGAUUUAUGUUUGUUUGAAGUUAAGUCUUGUACAAACUCACUUGAAACUUUACCCCAUCAUAUAAUUUCCAACUUGACUUAGCCUCAGGGCUCUUCUUAGACCAUAAACCAUUCUUAAUACACCUCAUACAUAUAUUAUCAUGAUCAAUUGAUAUCAUUCAUAUUAUUAGUCUUGUUCAUACCCGAAUUAAUAUAAUUAGCACUCGCCAAUCUUCUUAAUGGUCUUAAAACACUUUAAAAAAUUUUGGGAUGUUACACUAUGUCCUUUUGUUCUUAAUUGACAUUAUUUUGAUCAUUUUACCUCUUAAAAGUAUUUUAAUUGUAAAAUAAGCGCAAAAAGAAGUAAGGAGAAAAUUUGGGCAGCUCUCGAGUGGAACCAAUGAAAGAAAAAAAGGUACACUUGUUUGUAAAAUAAUUCACCACUAGCGAAAAUUAAAAAAGGAAAAAGAAAGUUGAAAGAAAAAAAACUCUGAAGAAAAAAAAAGAGAAGGAAAAAUAUAGAUGAAUAAAUUGUUGUCUUGUUCUUGCUAGUGGGGGUAGAACUGAAGUAGUGCUUAAAGAAAGAGGAAAUAUUUUUGGGGUGUGAUCUUGUUGUGAAAUUGAAGUUGAUUGAAGAAUUUGCGCUUAAAGUUAAUCAUGUGAUAUGUUAUAGUGCUUAGGAGGGUGAACCACUAGUCCUAAAUAUAUCCUACCUGUCCCUUAGCCCAGAUUACAGCCAUGAAAAGUUCUAAUUGUUUUAGACCGAGUAAGCCUACAUUAGUGGAGAUUUACAUUAUGGGAAAGACUAUGGUACCAAUUGCAUGCAUGUGACUUCUUUUGUGAGAGUGAGCAAUUUCUUUGAUAUAUGUGAGUCCUUAAACUAUAUUUGAUCAUGAGAUUCGAAUGUGUGAAUUCAACUUACUCUCUAGUUCUUAUUGUGAGGCACAUGGUUUCACGAGAGAUAGGUAAAAUUAUUAGACUUCUCUGCGAUGUGGGUGUUCAAGCCAUGAGUGCAUUGUGAUAUUGAGUCGGUUUUCGAGGUUAGGAUUGUUAUGGGCAUAUUGUCGUCAUUGUGUACAUUUCUUUUGAAGAAUGGCAUAAGAAAAAGGGAAGUGUUUGUGAUUGCAUAUGCUCUAGCUUAAUUUUUGCUAUCAACCGUGGUCAUUGAUAUAGUGUGCUUCGAUUGUGUAAUUGUAAAGUGCUCAAGAAUAGUGUAAUUUGUUGGUUGACUCGAGAGUGAGCAACGUUGAAGUAUGGGGUUGUGAUGUUUGGCUAUAAAUGCAUAUAUUUAGUGCAUUGCUUACCCUACAUUUUAAUAUUUUAGUGAUUAAAUGUGCGAUGUUUGAGACUAAUUAUGUCGUUUUAUGUGUAGGAUUGUUAAAGGAUGAAAAUACAUGAAGGUUGCACACAUGGACGUCAAAGAUACACAAAAAGAGCACCAAAAGGUAGAAAAAUUGAACCAGGAGCCAGAGUGGACGACGCCUGGUCCAGCGCGUUGUCAACCUGGCGUUACAGUGGGCGACACCCACUCUGCAGCGCGUCCCACACCAGGCCUCCCGAGCUCCGAGGCCUGGUCCUUUUCUAGUCCGUGUAUUAAACAUUUUCUUCAUGGAUUUGGGUUUGGGGACUCUGAUCCUAACCUAUAAAUACCCUCUAAACGUGAUUAGUUCGGGGUUGGUCAAUUUUGGAGGAAUCUUCCAGCUUUAAUCUAGUUUUCAUAGCUUUAUGUUUAAAAAUCAUCUUUUGAUUUUUGUGAUGAACAUGAGGAGCUAAAACCCAUAAAUUAUGGGGUUGCGAUUUAGCCAUGAAUAUUGUUGUUUGAAGUUGACUUGA